rnacentral:lncRNA from 1 species
ACCCUACUCUAAUAAGGCUUUUGAUAUCUGGAGCUCAUUGGUGGGAGAUAGCUAAUACAUACUUACAAGACAUUUAUUGCAUAGUCAAACUAUGGAUCCAGAAGAACAAGUCAAUAAGUCAAAUCAAGAUGUGCAUGUGUGGCGAAUGAAUGGUGUAUGGUGAUGAUUGAUAACAAUAGUGAAAGUCUAAUUCUACUUAUGCUCUUUUGAGGGGAUACAUACUUUUCUUGCUCUUUUGAAACUUUUUGAGGGGAAUAAGAUGCUCUAUAUUUUCUUUUCUUUUUUUUCUUUUCUCUCAGGUGGGUAUCUUGUACCCCUAAUUCUACUGUCGCACACUUGUCCAUUUUUACCUCUCGUCUCACUUUUUCUUUUCUUUCGAGGUUCCGGGCACUUGCCCCUUUUUAUUUCCUCGUAUCUUUUUUUUCUCUUUUUUUAGAGCACUCAUCUCCUUAAAUAAUAUAGCAAGUGGUAGUAACCAAGAUAACUCGAGCAUUUAUUGCAUAGGGAAUAACAAGGAUAGGAAAAUAUUUUUGGCUAUUCUCUCCCGGAUUAGGAGUAGAAUACUUUUGGGUGAAUCUGGAGAUGGAAGUGAGUGGAUAUAUGUGGAUGCGUACUUCCGGAGUAGAAGCAACAUGUGUGAGUGAACGUGCAAGUGAAUCUUGAUUCUAACCGCAUGACAAGCUCCUAAGGGUCUACACAGCUUGACCACACUCAAUGCUCAUAAGUAGUAAAAAGUAAAUGUGUGGCUCAAAGUCUAGCAAACAUGUAUAUAUGGCUGUGGUAGGAAUUUAAACUCUCAUCAUACAGGAACUCAUCAUGUGAUAUUUUGAAGAUUUUCAAAGAUAAAAUUCUCUAGAAUUCUAGCAUCUCUAGGAACAGAUAAACAGCAGCUCAACCUUCCCAUAUCAUAUCCAUUAACAACUUAGACUUUAGAUCAAGUACUCUUCCCACAAGUUCAGGUUUAGAGCAAGUCUUAAUUAAUAACAGUCAUGCCUAAACUUGAAAGAGAUUUCAAUUUUAAGAACUAGUCAUGGCAGAGCAACUAUUCAUCAUUUCCACGUGACAGCUUAUCAUGAGGGUUCAUAGCAAACUUUAUUUAUUUAUUUAUUUAGCAAACUAAACAAAGAUAUAUAUAAGCACAAAAUCUUUAUUUGGGUUUUUAUGAUUAUGCAUCUUUUUAUUAUUUGAGUAAAAUAUAAACAUGAGUAGAGCACUUAACUGGAUAAAUGGUGGUGCUCUCCCCCAAGCUGGAUUUUGCCGUAAUUCCUUCUGAUGUAGCUAGCAGGUGGCGGAGGUGUAUUUGAAUGUUGGUAGCCUCCUGACAGCGAUUCGGAUGUCCUCUGUCUACUAGUCUUCUUUGAUCCUUGAAUUCUGUGGAGCUCAAAUAGACAACAAAGCUUUGUGGAACUAGUUAAGUGUUAACAUAAAUAUCUAGCCUUUAUCAUGUUGAGCCUCCUUAAUAAAUGUUACACUCUUUAGUAGGAUCACAAUCUUAUUUUUACAAUUUUAUUUUUAUAGGACAGGAAUAUAUUUAUUUCAUUUUUAUGCCACCACAGUGAAUGUACUUAUGGGUUUUAUGCCAUGAGCAUAAUCACAUGGGGCUUACUAUUUUUAACAUUUUUAUUUUCUUUUCAAGAUGAUAUGAACCUGAUUAACUAAGCAAACUAUUUUAAAAUAAUUGAAAGGAAAAAGAUAACUACCAAGUUUACCUCUUGGCAAGGCGUUCGGUGUUUUUAAGUCCUCCGAACGGGUCUCUCCGUUUUCUCUGUCGUCCUAGGAUUCGCUGGAUGGUGUAGUCGGUGGUUCCGGCGGCGCCUCCUCUUCGUGUAUAACUAUCUUUUCUCUCCACACCUGACUCGGUGCUACGGUCUCCUCAGGACAGUUCUGUUUAAGUUGUAUGUCUUCAGAUCUUACCACUUCUCCUUCGUAGUCUGCCCAUCCAUCCUUGAUGAUUUGCCUCCUCUGGUUGCGGUUGCGUCGUCUUCUUUGUCUUGACCUGCUUAGAGUCUUCAUAUAUAUAUAGUUAGGGUCAGUAAAAUAGCGGCGUACCUUCUCAGAGGGGAAGUGCAUGUGGACUUCUCCGGUUCCAAUGUAGAUGAUUGCUUUAACGGUGCUGAGGAACAGUCUUCCAAGGGUGAUGGGUGGAUUGUACUUGUCUUCUUCCAUGUCAAUAACCUUAAAAUCAUCUGGAGCUAAAUGUAUGUCGGUUUUAGUGGCAUGGUUCCGAAUAGGAGCUGAUAGGUGACUGGGUCGUCCUUUUUGGUCAGGAACGGUGACUUAAGUCAACGAUCUUGACCUCCUUAAACUGCAGUGACCAUCUUGGUUGACUCGGUCCACAUUUGCUUGUUCCUGUUCCUCCUGUUGGUCAUCUUCCUUGGUUCAUGUCGGGAUUGCUCUGAGAUUUGUAUAGUCUUGUUCUUGAAGGAAAACGUCUCCUUCCUCUCCUUGAUGUAGAAACUGAUCUUGACAGCACUAGCAUAGAUGACAGCUCCCGAGGUGUUCAGGAAUGGCCUCCCUAGGAUGAUGGGUGCCCUCUCGUCAGUAUCAGUCUCUAUCACCACGAAGUCUGCUGGAGCGUAUAAGGUACCAACUCGGACAUAGAGGUUAUUCAAUAUUCCCUUUGGGAAACUUAGUGUCUGAUCUGCAAGCUGCAAACACAUGGUUGUUUCUAGGAAAGGAUGUGUAAAGAAUUUUUCAUAGAGUACCCUGGGCAUAAUGUUGACGCUGGAGCCAAGGUCGCAGAGUGCUUCUAGGAAGUCCACCAUGCCGAUGGAGAUCGGGAUGACGAGGCGUCCUGGAUUGUCUCUCUUGACCGGCAGAAGGUCAGUAAUUACUUCCACAGCAGGGUUACUCCAGUAGUUACGUCCUCAAGCAUCUCAGGGCAGUGAUUGCCUGAGUGUCCAGUAUCCCCAGUGUGUUUGAGCUCGUAGAUCUAGGUUCUUCACUUGGUGGAGUGUGGGAGUUGUAAAAGUCCUUCAUAUUUUGCUCGAAGUGUACCUGCUCGUAGAGACAAGGGAGAGAUCAAGUGCAUGGGCCCUGUUGGUGGAAAACACCAACAGAACCAAAAGUGUAUUUGUGCUUCUCUACCCUUAAGCAUAGUGAGCAAGACAAAGUUGAUGGAUAAUAAGAUCAUGAGUGCAGCAUUUAAAAUAUUUGUCAGAUCAGAUUGCUCAACCUAAUGGAAAGAUAAUCUCUCUAUAGUUAUGUUGUUUUUUUAUAUAUCUUCCAAAGAUUGAGCGUGCAACAUUUUAGCUCAUAAGAUUAGGAGUGUGGGAUCACAAAGAUGGAAGGACUACACAUGUUGAAUCGAUUGGGUUGGUUAAUCUAGAGUUGUAAAUCAUACAUGUUUGUCUCUUUUAUUCAUGUGAACGCCAGAACCAAGGAGAAGCUUGUAGAAGUGAAAGUCAAGUACCUUAAGAUGUUACCUUACUUGAAGAGUGAUGGUACAGUAUCACCUUGUGGAAGCUCUCCUUUCUUAGUGGUUGUGCAUCAUGUUUGUGGCACCCUCCAUGGAUCAUCUCUUGUGAGGUAUGCCUUCCUUGUGUAAAUUGUUAAACUUCAUGUGUCUCUCUCUUUGUCUCCAAUGUGAGUUUAUCUCUGGACUUCCCAGGUUGAUAUUGAAAGUUUUCCUGCAGGGGUUAGUCCAACAAAAUAUCCAGUAUCUACUAUAGCAUAAUAUUGGCUCAAAGAUUAACCUAGACACCAUGUCUAAUUUGAUUUAGGAGGGCAUUUUAACCUAAGCAUCAUGCUUAAUUUAAACUCCCUUUGAAGUAAGAUCAUCAGCCCUAAACUAAGCACCAUGCUUAAUUAAGAGAUAAAUGAAACUACUCAAAACCUAGACAUAUACUAAAGCAAAUAAAGGUAGCAUCAGAGCGUUUAUAGAGAUCUACUCAAGUGGAGAUGAAGUAGUGUGAUUAGUAUUUAACAAAUUGAGCAUGUCUCAAAGGUAGGGACAACCAACAUAGCAACAUGGCAAAGGAUGUUUGUAUGUAAAGUACUCCCCCAAGCUUGAAUUUUGCAAAAUUCAAGUUUGGAUGAAUUUAAUUCAAUGUUAUAUGAUGAUUGGUUGGACAUACCUUGUGCUUGUCAUUCAUCCGAUCUUCUUGCUCCAAUCCUGGAAAGGUUAGUGACAAGAAUACCCGAAGGAAUAUUUUUACAAUUAUCCUUAUAUGCUCAACACACAAGGUAAUGUUGCAAAUAAUUAAAAGCUCAUAUUACAAUCUGAUCAGUGCUUGUUUUAGGACACUAAGCUUGUCCUUGGGAAACCAUCAAUUUAUGUCAGUGAAGUGGUUUCCCCUCCAAUGCUGACCUAUAUCAAGAUCAACUCAAUGACAUCUAGAAAAUUUAUUAUAGACAUAUGCAUCGACAACUGCCCUUUUAAAGUUUUUAUAAACAAAAAGGAUGCGGGGGUUGGAGAUCUCGAAUGUGGUGAUGUUGGAGAGACCAAUGGAUUGUGAAGAUGUUGCAUAUGAGCAUGGAGUAAAUGAAGUGGCAAUGAAAUAAAUUCCAUGCUCAUUAAUGCUUAGAGUGAAAUCCAUGUGGUAUGGUGAAAAUGAUAAGGUGAGUGUGGUAAAAAAAGAAAAGAAAAAGGAUACACGGAUGACUUGGUUCGAAACUAGCACAGCUACCGUUCCCCGGCAACGGCGCCAGAAAGCUUGUUGGGUAUUUUAAACGCAAACAGAAAAAUCCACAAGCGCACGGAUAUCGAUGUAGCUUUCACCCGGGAGUAUUCCAGAGUAUCGAUUUUCCACAGAGAACGUGAGUGUACUAAUUAAGAUCCAAGAUCGCCCAAGGAUAACUAUAUAAUUAUUUUUGGUGGGAAGAGAGGAAGUUUCCUGAGAGUUCUCUAGUUGAUCUAAGAAUCAAGAAUUACUUCAAGAUUAUCUAUAUCGGGACAUCAGAGCACUAACCACAGAAAGAGAUGAGAAGGGGGCUAGGAAGGUCUGACUACGGUCCUACAAACACCGAUCCGAACGUGGUGGAAUACGUCGACCGUUAGGGCUGUCACUACCCUAAGGCUACCACAACAAUCCGCAGGAUUGGGUGCAAUUCCAGGUAAUUGCAAGACUAAACACCACGUCUAAUCUAUUAAUUACUACUCUAGCGUUAUAAAGACUAGAGCACUUGAUGCAAGCGGGAAUCCAAUAAAUAACUUGAAUGUAAAUAAAAGUAAUUAAAGAACUCAGGAUUAUGAAUUGAAGAACCUGGAGAAUGAUGAAGAACGAACUAGAUGCUGCAAAAGUAUAAUGUUGAGGAAGAUCCGACAGAUCCGGGUCCUCCUCCGCUCUCCUCUUCUCUCUCCCUAUUUUCUAGACUACAACUAGAACUAGAACUAGAGGAACUAGAACUAGAACUAGAUGAACUAGAACUAGAACUAGAUGAACUAGAGGUAGAACUAGAAGAACUAGAGGGAUCCUCUCUACUUGGAUGAAGAAUUGAAACCCUAACUUUGAUUCUGUAGAAGAGGUAUGCUCUCCAGGGGCCAGGGGGCCUUGCUUAUAUAGUCUUUUCAGAUGAAUCUGGGCCGUCGGAUCGAACCGACAUUAAUCGCACGGUUUUCCUUGGUCCCUUAGGUCGGUGGAGCACGAUCCGCGAAGUUGAAGCUGAUGGUUACUGUAGCUGGCGGGCACCCAAGGGACUUGGGCGGGCGCCCUGCCCCCGGCCCGAUCGGCCUCCCGUUCGUUCCCGUGGCUUCUGGAGUCUUCUAGAUGGUAGAAAAUUGCGCGGCACGUUAAUAUCUCUAUGUAAACCCGACGUGUGGGCUUUUCUUUCAUAUUUCCUGAUAACCUCCUGCAGAAAUAGACAAACACCAAAACUCGUGGAAUUCUGUCAGAUAAAACCCUAAGUCUAGGUGUUGGUUGCAUAUAAGUCUUUUUCCAUGAUUAGUUGAUGGUUAAAUGUGAGCAUUAAGGACCGUCAACAAGCCACUGGACGCUCUACUGCGUCACACCGGACGCGUCCGGUGCACACCGGACCCAUGUGCAGAGAGCUCCGCAAACUCGCACAGUCACCGGACGGACCCUGAGCGUCCGGUGCUCACCGGUCAGAAACUCCUCGCGCACACUCGCUGACAUCACACACCACCAGACGCUCGAACAGUAACCGCCCACCGUCCGGUGCCAGCGUCCGGUGCGCUCUACACACCUGAGCCACAGACACCACACCGGACGCUCUGGACCAGCGUCCGGUGCUGCCAACACCAGCGUCCGGUGCUCCCGCAACUUCUCCAAAAUUCCCACCGGCGCAAUAGAAAAUAUACACUUAAUUUUCUCAAAAGCGCCGAAUCCCGCCGAGGAACCCACACCCCUCUCAACCCUAGGAACUCCACCUCCUUUGUAAAUGUGCCAACACCACCAAGUGUACACCACCAUGUGCAAGUGUGUUAGCAUUUUCACAAACAUUUUCCCAAAGGAGUUAGCCUCUCAAACUUGCCGCGCCACUCGAUCCUAACACAUAUGCAAAGUUAGAUCGCUCAAGUGGCACUAGAUGACCGAUAUGCAAACAAGUUUGCCCCUCUUGAUAGUACGGCCAUCUAUCCUAAAUCCGGUCAUAAACUUCUCUACACACCUAUGACCGGUGAAAUAGAAAAGCCCUAGGUUAUACCUUUGCCUUGCGCUUUCCAUUCCAUCUCCUCCAAUGUAGAUGCAACACAUGCACCAACCCAUCACCAAAUGAUAUGAUCCUCUUCAUAUCAUCAUGUGACUGUAUUGGUUCAUCGAUCUUGACCUCACUUGCUCUUCACCGUUGCCUCGGUCCAUCAGCGCCAAGUCUUGCUCAAGCUUCACCGUCACACGCGGUCCCUCGCUUCAAAGCCUCUGACUUUCCCUUCACUCUUGCAACCGGUCCAUCAAGCCAAGCCACAUCUUGAUCUUUUCCACCUUGGUCACAUGACUCCAUGUCAUGUCUCAUAUGCAAUGAGCUCCUCCAUCAUCAUAUAAUCACCUGUGGACUAAUCUCCUAUGUAUCUCACAUAAACACUAUUAGUCCACCUAAGUUGUCACUCAAUUACCAAAACCAAACAAGGACCUUUCACACACUUAAGAAAUAAUGCACGCCAUUAAUGAACUCUUCGGAGCGCCGAUCGGCAUUAUACAACCAAUUACGUGUUACCAUCUGCAUUAAAUAUAACAUAUAUAUUAUGAAAACCAUGCACACAUAUAGUUUCUCAUCUUAUUGCACAAUAUGUCUAACACACAUAGUUGAUUAAUUCAAGCAAGCUUGGCUACAACAAAUACAAUCGCAACUAGCACUAAAAAACCAAAACUAAAAUGCACUUAAGCAACAUAAUUAGUUCGAGUCUCAUCCCAACUAUAAUAGAUAGAUAAUUUGCUUGAUCAACAUCAUUGAACUCCUUUUGCCGGCUCACUGCCUCAUCACCUUCAGCCUCAACCACCUGUGCAAAAGAUUUCUUGAUGUGUUGAAUGUAUUCUUCCUUCCAGUACCAACCUGUACAUCCGCCGGUACCGUCCCACUGAAAUUAAAAGAGAGAAUCAAAAGUUUAAUUAAUAUCAUUAAAAAAAUAAGCACAUAUAUAAGCAAAUGUCUAGAAAUAACUCACAUUACGAUCCGGACACUUGUAGAAUAUAGGACCGUUGUUUACUCCCUCUUUCGACACUCUGUACUCCAUCACAAUCUUCUACCCACACUUGCCACAAGCAAUGAGAGGGAGUUCCGGCCGGUAUCGCUUUUGAACCCGUUGAGAGACUGAAGACCCGGUCACGGUUGCCAUCUACUAUCCAUACUCAAUUUUUAAACAAUUAUAAAUUCCACAUUUACUAGUAAACAUGUAUGAUAAAAGAAGAACCUAAUAAUAUCCUUUAUUUGUCUAGUUACUUCAACAAAUCUUCUAAAUUAUACAAUGGACAUUAUGUAGUAAUAAAAACUUAUCAAGUGAUAUUAAUAAACCAAUUAAUUUGAACUAUCCUACUUUCUAAGAUCAUAAAAAGAUACUAUUGACAGUCCUUAAGUACCAAAUAUAAUCAGCAAAUAAACAAAGAAAAGGAUCCAAAUACAACCAACAUCUAAACUUAGGGUUUUAUCUGACAGAAAUCCACGAGUUUUGGUGUUUGUCUACUUCUGCAGGGGGUUAUCAGGAAAUAUGGAGAGAAGGCCCACACGUCGGGUUUACAGAGAGAUAUUAACAUGUCGCACAAUUUUCUAUCAUCUAGAAGACUACAGAAGCCACGGGAACGAACGGGAGGCCGAGCGGGCUCGGGGGCAGGGCGCCCGCCCACCCCCCUUGGGCGCCCGCCCAGCUACAAGUCCAAUCAGGAAUCUCUUCGGGGAUUACGCUCCACCGACCUAAAGGAUCAAGAAUAACCAUUCAAUCAAUGUCGGUUUGAUCCGACGGCCCAGGUUCACUUGAGGGGACUGUAUAACCAGACCCCCUGGCCCCUGGAGGAGGCACCCCUUGAUCAUUAUUCAUUAUUCAUAGAUAGAGCAAAAGCUAGGGUUUAGAGAUGAGAGCUCUCCUCUCUUCUCUAAACUAGAGUAGAUCUAGAUAGUAGCGAGAUGGAGAGCGAAGGAGGAUUAGAGGAGAGGCCGGCCUGUCGGUUCUUACUCCGGUUGUACUUCGCCAUGAUCAAGCUCUAAUCAAGUUUGCUCAUGGGAUGACUUUGGUAAUCUACUUCUAAUUCAUUAUGCAAUUACUAAUCAUGUAUGUUCUGGUUCACAACUCUUUUGAGUACUUCUAAUCCAUAGGGCCCUAUAGGUUAGAGUUGUAGUAUAGGUGUAGGUGUGGUGCUUAGACCUAGAUUACUUGUGGAUAUCCCCUGUCUAGCUGGAUCGUGUGGUAGGCCGCGUAGGUGACAGUUACAUUGGUUCUCUGUAGUCCACCUCUCGUUAGCAGGACGGGUAGGGUUUAUUGGCCUAUGUAUAAGCAUCCUUUGUGGUGUACUCUUAUCACGUGGUUCGUCCUAGACAUAGACAUACCCCUUUGAAGAAGAGAAACCAUAGUUAUCCUCUCUAUUCUACUACCAUCGCCCAUAUAUUAGAUUGCUCUACUCUCUAUUCCCAUAUUAUCACCCACUGUUAUCUUACCUUUAAUAUUGUUCUUAUUCAAUUCUACCAUCUUUCCUAUUUACACCUAUCUAUUUAUCUUGGUUAAGUUAGAGCAUAGAUCAGUUCUCCCGUUUCCCUGUGGAUACAAUAAAACCUUUAACUGGGUAAAAGGCUACAACGGUAUGCAUGCGCUUGCGGAUUUAUCUGUGUGCGUAUAAAUACCAUAGUACACUCUAGUGCCAUGCUAGGGAUGACAACCUAGUAUUCAAGUGGUGUUAGCAAGUGUCAACAAGCAUUUUUGGCGCCGUUGCCGGGGAAACGGUUGCUGAGUUGACUACGAACUAGCUUAAUCAUUUUCUAAAAAAAUAAAAUAUAUAUAUUUUUUUCCUUUUAUCUUUUGCCUUAUCUCUGCUAUUCUUUCUUCUUAUCUAAUCCUUGAUCUCUGGUCUAUUAUGAAUUCAAACAUGUCUAUCUAUGAAUUUCAUAGACCUGUGGGCACACAUCUCGAACCACCAAAAUCUUCAAAGCCUAUCAUAGCAUCUAGUUUUGAGAUAGACCCCGAAUACAUAGAAUUUGUUCAAAAACAACCUUUCUCAGGAGAAGGUUAGGAAAACCCAUACACUCACCUAAGAGAGUUUUAUCGAGUCUGUGACCUCCUUCGCAUAGAAGGCAUGUCCGAUGAGACCCUUAAAUGGAAGCUCUUUCCGUUCUCUUUAACGGGAAAAGCUAGACAUUGGUACAAACUCAAAGUAGGGAGUGUUCAUGGAGAUUGGAAGGAGUUAUAUAAUAGUUUUCUUUCUAAAUAUUUUCUAAUCUCCAAAGUGGCGGAACCUCGGCGUAAGAUUCUUUCUUUUAGACAACUAGAAGAAGAAUCUCUUGGCAAAUCAUAGGACCGCUUCAUUAACCUUACUCUCACUGGCCCAAAGCUUUCUAUUCCAGAAGAAGUUCUUCUAAUUCACUUUUUUGAGGGCCUUAGUAGGGAAAAUAAGCGAACCCUUCAUGCGGCCUCUGGAGGAUCUUUCCACCACCUAUCCGCUAGUGAAGCUUGGAAUUUGAUUGAUUUAAUGAGCGGAAAGUCUCCUAGCUUUUAUAUCCCUGAGAAAGAGAAAGAACCAGUUCCUAGACAAGAAGAAGAAGUUUCGAUAGCCAGAUCACAACCACUUCAAUCCCAAACUUUAGCUAUCGAUCCUAAACCAUCAAUACCCCAAAAUUCUCUAAGGGAGGAAGGAAUUCUGACCUUAAAUCUUUCAGAUACUGAUGGUUUAGACUUCUGGUUCCAUAAGAGACCUUCAAGCAGGGAUAAUUCAAAUCCUUGCAAUAAUGGUUCUCUUAGAGAAUGUCCUGGUUUCUGUUAUGAAGAAGUUGAGGAUGACAUAUCAAGUGAAGGAGAGCUAAACCAUAUAGAAAAUCCUAUCUGCUCCCCUUCCAUGUUCACAAAUUCUAAAUCCAUCCUUGACCUUAGAGACCCCUCUUAUCCCUCUCCUUUUAAGUCUCAUGAUGAUCCUAGCAAUCCAUCAAAAUGAUCAAACCAUAGGAGUCAUAAAGACCAUGAGGAUGACGUGUCAAGUAAUGUCAUAGAAGGAGAGCUAAGCCAUAUAGGAAAUUCUAACACCUCCCCUUUCCUGAUCACAAGUUCUAAAUGGCUAGAAUGUGUAGAAUGGAUGGAUAAGGAAGAAGACUUAAUGGAUUCUGACUUUGGCUCAAUUUCAAAUGGUGAGUUCUUGACUCCUUUUGAAGAUGAGAUUUAUCCAACUACAGAAGAGGACACAGGUGAGACCAAUUCAAGAGAAACUCCAAACAUUCAGAUUGGAGACGAAGAUAACAUUAAUGAGUAUGGAAUUUAUUUCAUAGCCACUUUGUUUACUCUAUGCUCAUAUGCAACAUCUUCCCAAUCUAUUGGUCUCUCCAACAUCACCACAUUUGAGAUCUCCAACCCCCUCUUCCUUUCUAUUUAUAAAAACUUUAAAAGGGCGGUUGUCGAUGCAUAUGUCUAUAAUAAAUAUUGCGGAUCUCGUUGAGUUGAUCUUGAUAUAGGUCAGCGUUGGAAGGGAAACCACUUCGCCGACAUAAAUUGAUGGUUUCCCAGGGACAAGCUUAGUGUCCUAAAAUAAGCACUGAUCAGAUCGUAACAUGAGCUUUUAAUUAUUUACAACAUUACCUUGUGUAUUUAGCAUAUAAGGAUAAUUAUAAAAAUAUUCCUUCGGGUAUUCUUGUCACUAACCUUUCCAGGAUUGGAGCAAGAAGAUCGGAUGAAUGACAAGCACAAGGUAUGUCCAACCGAUCAUCAUACAACAUUGAAUUAAAUUCAUCCAAACUUGAAUUUUGCAAAAUUCAAGCUUGGGGGAGUACCUUACAUAAAAACAUCCUUUGCCAUGUUGCUAUGUUGGUUGUCCCUACCUUUGAGACAUGCUCAAUUUGUUAAAUACUAAUCACACUACUCUAUCUCCACUUGAGUAGAUCUCUAUAAAUGCUGUCAUGCUACCUUUGUCUAUUUUCUAGCAAGUGUUGGUUUGGAAGUACUCGACAUACUUCCAUUGGCAUUUAAAUUGAGCAUGGUGCUUAGGUUAAAUAGCCUUCCUUAAUCUGAUUAGACAUGGAGUCUAGUUUGGUUACUGAACUAAAAACUGCUUGAGUAGAUAUUGGUAUAUUUUGUCGGACUAACCCCUAUAGGAAAACUUUCACUAUCAACCUGGGAAGUCCUGAGAUAAACUCACAUCAGAGAUGAAGAGAGUAACACAUGAAGUUUAACAAUUUGCACAAGAAGGACAUAGCUCAUUCACCAUACAGAGAUGAUCCAUGGAAGGAGACAAAGUACAUAAACAAGAUACACAACCACUACGAAAGAAAAGCUUCCACAAGGUGAUACUAUACCAUCACUCUUCAAGUAAGGUAACAUCUUAAGAUAUCUGACUAUCACUUUUAUAAGCUUCUCCUUGGUUCUGGCGUUUACAUAAAUAAAGAGACAAACAUGUAUGAUUUAUAACUCCAAAUUAACCAACCCAACUGAUUCAGCAUGUUUAGUCCUUUAAUCUUUGUUCCUAGUACUACCUCCAUGAUCCCACACUCCUAACCAUAUGAGCUAAAAUGUUGCACAUUUAAUCUUUGGGAAGAUAUAAAGAAAAAGGCAUAUAUAUAGAUAGAUUAUCUUUCCAUUAGGUUGAGCGAUCUGAUCUGGCAAAUGUUUUAAAUGCUACACUCAUGAACUUAUCAUUCAUCAACUUUGUCUUGCUCACCAUGCUUAAGGUUAGAGAAGAACAAAUACACUUUUGGUUCUGUUGGUGUUUUCCACCAACAGGGCCCAUGCACUUGAUCUCUGCCUUGUCUCUAUGAACAGGUACACUACGAGCACAAACACACUGAGCAAGAUACUGCCAACACCGCACUUCGAACUACUGGGCAAACGAAGAACAUGGGUGACACCGUAUUAAGAGGUGCAGACGUCAAGGUCCACACCUGAAUCAAAUGACACACCUGAAGAAUGAACACGGUGAGAAGUCUUGUUCAGAAGACUUAAAACAUUGAAUCCUCGCCGAAAGGUAAAAUCGGUAGUUAUCCAUAUUUAUCCUUUCUGCAUUCCCUUUUCCCAUUAAUUAUUUACUUUCCUUAAAUAGAUUAUUAGUUAAUCAUGCUAUCUUGAAAAUAAAAUAAAAAUGUUAGUAAGCCCCAUAUGAGUAUGCUCGUGGCAUAAAACCUAUAAGUACAUUCACUGUGGUGGCGUAAAAAUAAAUAUAUUCCUGUCCUAUAGAAAUGAAAGUAUAAAAAUAAAUUUAUGAUCCUACCAAAGAGAGUAAUAUUUAUUAGAGGAAGCUCAACAUGACAAAGGUUAAGAGAUUUUAUGCUAACACUUAACCAGUUCCACAAAGCUUUGUUGUCUGUUUGAGCUCCACAGAAUUCAAGGAUCAAAGAAGACUAGCAAACGGAGGACAUCCUAAUCGUUGUCAGGGUGCUGCCGACAUUACACCUCCACCACCUGCUAGCUACAUUAGAAGAAAUUACGUCAAAAUCCAGCUUGGGGGAGAGCACCCCCAUUUAUCCAGCUAAGUGUUUCUACUCGCGUUUAUACUUUACUCAAAUAAUAAAAAGAUGCAUAAUCAUAAAAACCCAAAUAAAGAAUUUGUGCUUAUAUAUAUAUCUAUGCUUAGUUUGCUAAAUAAAUAAAUAAAUAAAGUUUGCUAUGAACCCUCAUGAUAAGCUCUCACAUGGAAAUGAUGAAUAGUUGCUCUGCCAUGACUAGUUCUCAAAAUUGAAAUCUCUCUCAAGUUUAGGCAUGACUGUUAUGAAUUAAGAUUUGCUCUAAACCUGAACUUGUGGGAAGAGUACUUGAUCUAAAGUCUAAGUCGUUAACAGAUAUGAUAUGGGAAGGUUGAGUUGCUAUUUAUCUGUUCCUAGAGAUGCUAGAAUUCUGGAGAAUUUUAUCUUUGAAAAUCUUUAAAAUGUUGCAUGAUGAGUUCCUGUAUGAUGAGAGUUUAAAAUCCUACCACAGCCACAUAUACAUGCUUAUGAGACUAUGAACCAUACAUUUACUUUUUACUGCUUAUGAGCAUUGAGUGUGGUCAAGCUAUGUAGACCCUUAGGAGCUUGUCAUGCGGUUAUAAUCAAGAUUCACUUGCACGUCCACUCAUACAUGCUGCUUCUACUCUAGAAGUAUGCAUCCACAUACAUCCACUCAUUUCCAUCUCCAGAUGCACCCAAAAUUAUUCUACUCCUAUCCGGGAGAGAAUAGCCAAAAAUAUUAUCCCAUUCCUGUUUUUCUCUGUGAAAUAAAUGCUCGAGCUAUUUUGGUUACUACCACUUGCUACAUUAUUCCAGGAGGGUGAGUGCUCUGAAAAAAAGAAGAAAAAUACGAGGAAAUAAAAAGGGGCAAGUGCUCGGAACCUCGAAAGAAAAAAGAAAAAGUGAGACGAGAGGUAAAAAUGGACAAGUGUCCGAUAGUAGAAUUAGGGGUACAAGAUACCCACCUGAGAGAAAAGAAAAAGAAAAUAUAGAGCAUCUCAUUCCUCUCAAAAACCUUCAAAGUGCAAGAAAGGUAUGUAUCCCCUCAAAAGAGCAAAAGUAGAAUUAGACUUUCACCAUUAUUUUCACCAUCAUCACCAUACACUAUUCAUCCACCACAGAUGCACAUCUUGGUUUGACUUAUUGACUUGUUUCUCUGGAUCCAUGGUUUGACUAUGCAAUAAAUGUCUUGUAAGUAUGUAUUAGUUGUCUCCCACCUAUGAGCUCCAGAUAUCAAACCUUAUUAGAGUAGGGUGAGAGAGAAGGCAAUAUCACUAUGCCUCAUACCACAAAUACUACAUACUUUGAGAGAAGGCGUAUAUUAUCACUGCCUUGGUAAGGAUCUAGAAAUACCACAAAAGAGAGACUAGAGAGAGUCAUACAAGGAAUCUCUGAGUUUUAUUUGAAAAUCUGCAAAAACUCCAGAGCUAUAGUUGAUCAAAGAACAAGAGACAUGGUGCUUGACUUGACUGUUCUAUCUUUUAACUGCUCAAGACACAAGUGACGGUUGCAAGCCCCAUCGUGAAAGCUAAUAUGAGUAAGUUUUAAAUCUUAACAAUUUACCCUAACCUAGAGAUGAGAUCUUGUUUAAACGCAUGUGUACCUUUAAGGCAUAAAACCACUGUAGAAACUCUUGAGUCCAUCCUUGCUCAGAGACGAGCAAGAGGUAAGCUUGGGGGAGUUGUUGACGGUCCUUAAGUACAAAAUAUAAUCAGUAAAUAAACAAAGAAAAUGAUCCAAAUACAACCAACAUCUAAACUUAGGGUUUUAUCUGACAGAAUUCCACGAGUUUUGGUGUUUGUCUAUUUCUGUAGGGGGUUAUCAGGAAAUAUGGAGAGAAGGCCCACACGUCGGGUUUACAUAGAGAUAUUAACGUGCCGUGCAAUUUUCUAUCAUCUAGAAGACUCCAGAAGCCACGGGAACAAACGGGAGGCCGAGCGGGCUCGGGGGCAGGGCGCCCGCCCACCCCCCUUGGGCGCCCGCCCAGCUACAGAGUCCAAUCAGGACUCUCUUCGGGGAUUACGCUCCACCAACCUAAAGGAUCAAGAAUAACCGUUCAAUCAAUGUCGGUUUGAUCCGACGGCCCAGGUUCACUUGAGGGGACUAUAUAACCAGACCCCCUGGCCCCUGGAGGAGGCACCCCUUGAUCAUUAUUUAUUAUUCAUAGACAGAGCAAAAGCUAGGGUUUAGAGAUGAGAGCUCUCCUCUCUUCUCUAAACUAGAGUAGAUCUAGAUAGUAGCGAGAUGGAGAGCGAAGGAGGAUUAGAGGAGAGGCCGGCCUGUCGGUUCUUCCUCCGGUUGUACUUCGCCAUGAUCAAGCUCUAAUCAAGUUUGCUCAUGAGAUGACUCUGGUAAUCUACUUCUAAUUCAUUAUGCAAUUACUAAUCAUGUAUGUUCUGGUUCACAACUCUUUUAAGUACUUCUAAUCUAUAGGACCCUAUAGGUUAGAGUUGUAGUAUAGGUGUAAGCGUGGUGCUUAGACCUAGAUUACUUGUGGAUAUCCCCUGUCUAGCUAGACCGUGUGGUAGGCCGCGUAGGUGACAGUUACGUUGGUUCUCUGUAGUCCACCUCUCGUUAGCAGGACGGGUAGGGUUUAUCGGCCUAUGGAUAAGCAUCCUUUGUGGUGUACUCUUAUCACGUGGUUCGUCCCAUACAUAGACAUACCCCUUUGAAGUAGAGAAACCAUAGUUAUCCUCUCUAUUCUGCUACCAUCGCCCAUAUAUUAGAUUGCUCUACUCUCUAUUCCCAUAUUAUCACCCACUGUUAUCUUACCUUUAAUAUUGUUCUUAUUCAAUUCUACCAUCUUUCCUAUUUACACCUAUCUAUUUAUCUUGGUUAAGUUAGAGCAUAGUUCAGUUCUCCCGUUUCCCUGUGGAUACGAUAAAACCUUUAACUGGGUAAAAGGCUACAACGGUAUCCGUGCGCUUGUGGAUUUAUCUAUGUGCGUAUAAAUACCAUAGUACACUCUAGUGUCAUGCUAGGGAUGACAACCUAGUAUUCAAGUGGUGUUAGCAAGUGUCAACAGAUACUAUAAUUCAUUCUUGCAAACUACAUUAAUACUAGGUCAACCAUGAAAUAUGAUAUAUAUACAUAGAUACUAAUUCAAGUGAAUGAUUCAAAAUAACAAAGUGGAUUUGAGCUAAAAAUAAUGGGAAAAUCACAAGCCAAAAACAACAUGAAAAAGACAAAAAAAGAUGAAGUUAGUCACCUCUAAGCACGAAGAGACGAUGACGGAGUCAAAGAAGAUCAACGAUGGGCGUCAGAGAUGAGGAACAAAGGAAGAACAAGCAAGAACAACAAAAUAGAAGCUCUAAGAACGACCAUGGUGCUCUCGGUUUCGAAUGGGCAGAGGGGAGGAGGUAGCCGGCCUAUAAACCGGACCUUUAGCACCGGUUCAGAGCACAAACCGGUGCUAAAGGGUCACCCUUUAGCACCGGUUCGUGUUACCAACCAGUGCUAAAGGGUUUGCCUCGGCCCAUGGCACUGGCCGGUGAUAUAAAGGCCCCUUUAGCACCGGUUGGUAACACGAACCAGUGCUAAAGGGUCCCUGCCCGGACAACACCUGUUAGUAGCCGUUGGGCAGGACCCUUUAGCACUGGUCCUUGUUCCGAACCGGUGCUAAAGGGGCCUUUAGCCCCGAGCCGCAAAAAAGCCGAGGUUUUUGGAGAUUUUAGGCAUCGACCAAUGCCUCAUUCUGUAGUAGUAGUGUUGUCUACUAAACUAAACACGUUAUGUGUUUGGUCUUUAUUAUGUAAAAAAAAAUGUGCUGGAGAGAUCUCACGGCAUUCUGUAAGUCUGAACCAAGUAGUACGAAAAUUUGGAUAUGGAGAAUCAUCAACAUUUUCAUUUCUUCUCUAAUAAUAAGGAUAUGUUUAGUUCCCUAUUAAAUACAAAAUACAAAAUAUCAAUUACUUUGGAAUAAUGAAAUACAAAAUGUCAAUUUAUUUUAUAGUUGUGUUUAGUUCCAUCUAAAAUGCUAAAUUUUUUCAGGUGCUGGCGGGGUGGGCACGGGCUCCCAGGUGUUUUUGGGCUUUUUUAGCCUCUUGAGACCAAAAUUCAAAACGGCGAAUAUCCAUAUUUUUAGUAAAAAUUUUUACAUGGUAUUUAGUUUCAUUAUGGAAAAUAAUAGAUCCAAAUAUAAAAUUUUAUGAUGAAAAGAGAAAACACCCCCGCAUUUUGGGAUGUGUUGUUUUCCGAUAUAAAGGGAUGGUAGAAUUGUUGCUGUGACCAAUCUUGUUGUACAUGUUUAUCAGUGGGCCUACUAGUGACCUCCUUGGUGGCAUGUUCUGGCCAGACUGCAGAAAGAAUAACUGUGGCAGGUGUUUUCCCUUUUUCGUAGUGGACAAACACGUUCGCCACAGUCAUAAGGCCACGGUAAAUCGUGUNNNNNNNNNNNNNNNNNNNNNNNNNNNNNNNNNNNNNNNNNNNNNNNNNNNNNNNNNNNNNNNNNNNNNNNNNNNNNNNNNNNNNNNNNNNNNNNNNNNNCUGCAUCUAGCUUCGAAUACAUUUAUUACCUAACAGACCGAAGCAAUAGCGGACCACGAGACUUUUGACCCUGGCAAAUUUUAAUACGAUGAGUAUUUGCUAUAGAAAAAUUGGAAACCGCUAAUGCGCGGCCGGCCGUGCAUUAAGCUUCCGGUACGCACAUUCCGUUUACGGAAGGUUUUUUAAAACCAUCAGUAACCAUUCCUAUUUGCUUUUGCACUCCUUUUUUCUCUUGUUGUCGUUUUCUACUUCUUCCAACUAACUCGCUGCUCCUAGAUUUUCUAGGCAUUAUUUAGCUCAUAUCCCAAAUAUUACAAAUUUGAUACAUUCACCAAAAUAAGCCGAAAUCAAAUAUAAACUAUUCAUCACACAUGACAUUUUGGACAUCUUGAGAUAUUUCGUAUAACAAUCCACAUAUGUCAUUUUGGGCACCUUGAGAUGUUUUGUAUAGCAACUCAGGCUUCUUAUAGAAGGGAACGUAUCCUGUGUAACCCAGCUUCGUGUGCAACCUAUGCAACUAUCAAUUAAGGCCACAAGAUCUAAAUCCAACGUCUGAGGUUUUUUCAUUUAAACCCUCCCAUCUAGAUACACACGGGUUAGAUUUAAACCCACAGGUGGAGGGGUUUAAGUGAAAAAAUCCUCAGACGUUAGAUCUAGAUCAUGUGACCUUAAUUGGUGGUUGCAUAGGUUGCACACGAAGCUGGUGCAUAUGAUACGUUGCCCUUAUAGAAUACAUAGACGAAAAGGUAGAUAUUAUGUACUACUACGAUAGAAAUACAUCUUGUUUGGACUAAAUCUCCUUGUGUUGGUAAUAUAUAUACUGAUCCACCAUGCAUCCCGCUUGCACACAUGGCUCUCUUUGUUCAUUUUAUCCCAUGUUGAUGCUUGAGAGACCAUCACACCUGCAAGUAAAAAAUGUUAAAAAAAUUUAGGCUUGCAGCAACUAGAUGUCAUAUAGCAUAUAUAAGUACUGAAACCUUGUCUAUGCAAAUGCAUAAACAUGAGGCACACCAUAGCAUGUUACUGAACAAAAAUUGCAUAACCUUGUGUUUUUUUGCCUAAUCCAGUACACUAUUAUUGUCUAAUAAAUUUGACUAACUACCUUGCAUGCCAUGAUAUAGCAGCACACAUCUAUCCUAUACACUUAAAGUUGUAGAUUGCUCCCCCUCUCACAAAACUCCUAUACAUGAACAGCUCCCAGACUCAGAACACUGUUCUGGUAACAGUAUCCAAGCAACCACCGUCGGAUCAGGCCGUAGUGAGCACCUACCGUCCAUGCAAGGAAUCAUCAUAUAUGUGUCAAAAAUAUAGAUUUGGAUGAGCUACCUCCAGAUUUUCAAUAGAAGGCUACAUUGCCUAUUUAGGAGCACAUUGUUGCCUAACAAAUGACUUAAUUUGCCUACAUGCCAUGAUAUAGCAGCACACAUUUAUACUAACUGUCUUGCAUGAAAGGAAUCAUCAUAUAGGUGUCAAAAAUAUAGAUCUGAAUGAGCUACCUCCAGAUUAGCAACAAAAGGCUAAAAUGCCUAUUUAUGUGCACAUUGUUGUCUAACUAAUGACUUAAAUUGCCAUAAAAAUGACACUUAAAUUGCCUAAGAAAAUGGUUGUGUUUUUCUUUUGCGUGUGUGCCAUCAUACCUCGUUGCUGCCAUUUGGACACCGGCACACAUACUCCACAAAAUCCCUGCCCUCUAGACAUUGUAUGAAGAACUAUCCCUGUAAAUGCAUGCAAAAAAGAGUUGUUUUCAUUACAUUUGUAUAUAGCAAGAAGCAAAAAAAACAUCACAGGUAAAAUGCCUACAAUCUGAGAAUAGAACAAAGGGCAACUAGCUCAAUAAUAUAAGUCAUCUAGUAUUUUCAUGUGUGCUUAGAAAUAAGGAACUCACAUGAAGAAAAUUUGGUAGUUAGCCUACUCGGUGGCUAUUAUUUGGUUGUAGCUGCACCUUAUUGCAGUUAUACCUACAAUAUAGUCUAGUUCACUUUUGCGGCCAAAAUAGCAGCAGCCGGCUGUAAGAAGUUGCAUUUUCUUAGGCAAUUUAAGUGUCAUUCAUUAGACAACAAUGUCUUCUUAAAUAAGUAGUUUUUGUAUUCUGAAAAAGCAAGUAUAGUAUUUGUGUUCAUUAGCAACCCACAACCCCACUCCCACCCCCGGUGUAAAAAUAAGCAGAGACAUAUGACUGUAUGAACCAUCACCUAGCAUUGCUAUAGAAGUAACAUGUAGUACAUCUUUGGCAUGCAGAUCUCCAAUGAAUGUAGAAGUGUUAAACCUAAAUCACAAGAAUACAAGAGAAAAAGAGAAGUAGGGAUCAGUUCAGAGCAGAUCCCAGAUGUGUAUAGAAAGAUUCAACAACAUGUCAAAAGGUAAGAUGAUAAGACUGGUAACCAUAAAGUGAAACAGAUGGUAAAGAGAUAUAUGCAUCUUUGAUCUUUCCACCUAUAGUUCUUUCAAAAGUGAUAAUUGUUAACACUAAAAACCAAGUAAAAAAAUUAGUGUGAACUUAGAGAAAGUUACCAUGAACAAAAAUCUGGGUGUUAUCAUGUCUACUAAAAACGUUAAUUGAAACUGUAGGAUCUAUCAAUUUGUUUCACUCGACUUUAGUUGGUAAAUGUUUUCCAAACUCCAACUUAAUUUCACUAUCUUACCAGUUUAUUCUACUGGUGUUCUCAAUUGGUAACUAUUUUUCCAAAUCCUACUUAAUUAAGCAAGCUUGCAUUCGCAUCUCAGUAGUUCACUUAGCAGAAAGAAAAAUAUAAUAGAAUUAAAUCAUUCUACAAACACUCACAUCGUUGCAGCCUUUAUAAAGAUGCUUCCCCUAGAACCACCUCCACCCUUCUCAUUGCUAUCCCCACCUGUGCAUUCAUGACCAGGUCGUCAUCAUAAAUGGUAGCAAAAAAAGCUGAUAUGUUGCGUAUCUAAAUGAUAUAUCGUUGCCUAUCCAAUGUUAUGUUAUUGCCUGUAUGAGCCCUUAUUGUUGCCCCGCCGUAUAAAUUAAACCUAGAGGAGGAUUAACAAUGGCAUAGCAGGUAGCUAGCUAUUGCCACCUCCAACUUGCCUAUGUGCUAUGCUUGAGGUGAUGAGGAGGAGAAUCGCAUCAGCAGAUGAAUUAAUGGAUGAAUGAAUGAAUAAACAAGCCUGGUUGGUGCAGAGUACAGCAGCCGGUGGAGCAAUUGGACAAAGAUUGCAUGUGGUUGUCAGAAGACAGAUGAUGCAUCAUUGGAAAUGCAAGCCAAGGUUAGUACUAUAAAAUGUGAUAAUCACAAUCGGGUACCAAAAAGGUUCAGAGUGAUGGCUGCCGUACUUCAAAAUUUUGCAUCAGAGAUGUAGACAGAGGUAAAAUUUUACGGUUCAGUUCUGUAACCUAGCCUCAUUCAGUCUAUAUAACGUAAAUGUUGGCAAGAAAAAAUCUUACUCUGAUUUGUUUUGAAUCUUUUGAAUGAAGAUCUAUAAUACUAGAGUAUUGACAAUGUUUAGAAAAAAUCUCGUUAGUUGAUACAAUAAGCAAUUAUUAAAAGGACAGGGAAAUGUGAAUCAUCAUAAUUCAUACGCACAAGGUAAGGGUUCAACUAGAACGGUGACUGAAACUUACCCCCACAGUGCCACCAUUACUCAUGACAUCUAAGAAGUAGUGCCCGUGAGCAUGGCCAUUAUGCCAGCUCCUCUCACCAUUAUCCUUGGAAGCCUUGAUCUUUCUUCUUGACAACUUGGAUAACUGCAAGAAAGUAAACAAACAGAUACAGAGCAGGACCCAACGACAGUGACACAACAAAGCUGUUAUUGUUGCCUAUCUAAAUAAUAUAUAGUUGCCUAUCCAAUGUUAUGUUAUUGCCAGUGUGAACUCUUAUUGUUGCCUAUGCAGUGCUAUAUUGUUGCUUAAACAUAUAAAGGUGUCAAAUGCAGAAUCUUAAAUACACCUUCUAACUUCUUUGUCCUCUGUUUUGAGCAGUACUCAAUGAUCUUAAAUCAACUGCUCAACAAGCAUCUGCAUGCAUCUACAAGAGAAUGACCAAAUUAAAAUCCCAUCAUUCAGUCACACACUUAAUAAGCACCAGAACAUUGUGCCCUCAAAUACCAACAUAUAGAUUACAAAACUACAUAUACAACAACCACGAAAAUCGUAAAGCAAAAUUAAAACUAAAACCACUCAAUCAUAAUCACUGAAUAUUAAAAAAAUAGAACAGGAUCUGGAUCUCACAUUAUUACCUAACUGUCAAUCUGUCACCGACGAAGGAUUGGGAGCGGGCAGGACCGUGCAGCCGACAGGGAAAAGAGCCAGUGGAGGGCCGAAGGGCCUGCAAGCCGGCCGGCUUGGUCCCUGAUGUAGCCGCGCAGGCGGUCUGGGAAGCUCCUCGCCUGCAUAGCUAGUUAGGCGGGGGAGGUGACCGACGUGACCUUGGCUGUGGCCACCGGUCGGCUAGGCUCGGCCCCAGGCGCAACCGCGUAGGAAGGAGCUCUGGCCCCUGGCAGUGGAGGUCGGGUUGGGGAAUGUAUGACCUGCAACCAUGGAUGAGGCGUGGGGAAAUCGAAUAAAAACAAAUCAGCAUCAAAAUCAAUCAGCUCACAAUUACAGGCGAAUCGAUUAAGCGACGGCGACUUGCCUCACAACACUAUAGCAUUGAGCGAGGCCACUAGAUCGUGGAUCUAGGGCAUCAGACCCUGGAUCUAGGCCGCCUGUCCAUGGAUGCGGCGACGCCCACGGCACUAUCCAGGUGGCGGUGCAGGGAGGCGGCGACGGGGAGCAGGAAAGGGUCAGCGCUGGGGAGCGAGUCCACUGGAGCAGGUCGUGCUCAUGGAAGAAAGGUGACCACGCGGGCCGGGGGAGAGAGAGAGACAGGGGCGAGUGGAAGACGAGCAGGUGGGCGACGACGAGCGUAAGAAGUGUCCGUGUGGGGCGAUAAUAAGAUGACGGCCGGCCAAAACAAAGUCUUUACCUUUUUUUAAAAAAAAAACCCGAGGAACUAAACUUUUCAAGGAACCGAACGGAUAACCAAAUGCCAAUCCCCUAAAUACUGGAUUGAGGUGGACGCAAGUCCGGCACAAAAAGGCCAUAUGGAUUUCUGACGUGUUUCGUGGGUACCUUCCAACUAUUUCUGACUGCAUGACAAAUAUGUACGAAUUCGGACAGAGCUUGCCUCACAUGUUUCUGUACCACCAAAAACCAGGUAAAUAGACCAGUUGAAACAAAACUGUACAGCUCGAGAGGCUAACACUAUCCCCACCAAAGAACAAGUGGGCGUGUUUGGUUGCCCCUUCUCCCCCAUCCUGAUUUUGCUCAUGCGUAUAUAUAUACCAAAAGAAGCUUCUUUGGUUGCCUUCAUUUACUGUUCUAUGCUAUAAUCAACAAUUGUACUCCUGUUAUAAAAAACAAUUGUACUCCCACAUGUGAUAUGCACUACUACAGGAUUGAUUAACCGCAACGAGCCCAUUUCCACCUCCGUGGCAGGCACAGUUUUCAUCCGCCACGGUUAUUCAACCGCACACAAUUACUUUUGGCCACAGGAACGCCCGCUGCGAAGACAAUGGCAAAGGACAAGGCGAUGGCCAUGGCCAGGACAAGGAGAAGGCACAAGACGAGGACGAUGGCGGAGAUAAGGAGAAGACACAAGUAGAUGAGGGGGACAAAGACAUGGGCACAACCUGUGCCCCUCCUCCAAACAGCCCACCUCGGAGCCCAAACAGACAACAAGGAGGCACGGAGGAGGCAACGAGGACUAAGACACCUCUGCCAACAGCUACUCCUACGCUUGAAGCCCCCUCCUCCACCAAGCAAGGAUGCAUGCAUGACCGCUAAGGAUGAAAACGGAACAGAAAUAUCGCAAACCGAACCGAACCGCUUUCUAUAUUGGAUCCGAUCGAAUUUAUAUUUUCUUGUCCGACUUUACCGUUUUCGCUUUUGUAUUUUAGAUGUUUCGUAUUUCAAAUGUAAAAGUAGAAAACGGUUUAGACAUUUUUCGACCGUUUUCUACUUUUCUACUUUUAAUUUGAAAUAUUUUGAAUUCAAAAUUUGGUUUAAAUCGAAUUUAGUCAACUGCACGGUCACACAGCCCCAAUUACAGAGUACUCACCAAGGAUUUGUGUUCUUUCUACUAGUGGCUAGCUAUGUUCCUGCUAGCUAUUAAUUGUUUGUUCUUAUUUAUGUGUGGGCUAUUGUAUUAAAUACCUAAGACCAAGAAUCAUGCACUUUUUAAUUAUUAUAUGCACUUAAACUUGAUCGUGUGUAUACUUAGUUAUGCACUUGGUACUACACAUCGGUAUUUCGUAUUGAGUUUCCGUAUAUCGACCGUGUUCGACAUAAAUCUGCUUGAAUUGGUUCGUUUUCGAAAUUCUUGAUAUUUCGUAAGUUCGCGUUCGUUUUCGUGUCCGACUUUACCGUUUUCGUUUUCGUUUUCGUUUUCGUAUUUCAAAUGUAAAAAUAGAAAACAAUUUAGGAGUUUUUCGACCGUUUUCAUCCUUAAUGACCGCCACACUGCUCCCGUACACUACUACGUCCGAAAGGUAUGAGAUAAACAAACAUAAUAUUCUCGUAACCUUUCUAUAACACAUCAAAUGGUAAUAACAUUUGUAUCCAUGUUUUGCCAGGCCUACAAAUACUCUUCAGAUCAAUCUAUUUACCGAGGCGGAAGACUGUCCUGGCCACUAUGAGCUUGGAAAGUUCAUGCUACCUAAGGCUCAGCUCAUCGACGAUGAAAAGUGGGAUACAAGGAAGUUCCACCUGUGGUAUAUGGAAGCGGCAAAAGCCGAGAUGACAGGUUUCACCGUCAAGAUUCCCAAGGAGUUGUUCCACUUGCCCGGUGGCGAUAUUCAGCUACAUGUGGACUUCUAGGACAUGUACAAUCUAUUGCGGGAUGAAGACCUUGACAUCGUCCAAAUCACCUUAUUCUCUCUGUAACUGAUGAUUGCGACCUUCAUAGACCAAUCUCUACAUUUGUAUUGGAGAACUAUAUGAUUUUUAGGACACGAUGACUUGUCCGUGCAGGUUGACGGUCACUAUUAGCAACAAAAGGCACCAUCCUAUCCUAUACCUCUCUCCAAUGCAUAUUGCUAAGAGAGUGAUCAAGGGUUUCAACAUAAUAGACCCAGAGUUGACCGUGCGACAGAGGGAAAAGAAGUACGAAGACAACAUGAAAGAGGAGAAGAAGAAAUUGUUAAGGUACAUCUUUGAAGUAGUGAAGAAGCUCAACCCGGAUGGGCCGCAUUGUAUUAUGGCUACCUACCACUUUGGGUAAGUCAAAAACAUCCAUGUAGAGCAAAAGUGGUUAGGAUCAUGCCUUCUCAUCGACAUAACUUAUACUUUGUUUCAAUGGUGUAGAAAUGACCUAGCCGGCGGCCACUGGGUUGCCUUCCUCAUCUAUCCUCAAGAUGGCCGGAUUGUCAUAUUUGACUCGUUACAGGUCCCGGACAAAAAGGGAUACAAAGCCUUCGAAGACUGCUUGAAAAAGUAAGCCACCGAGCUUCUUGAUCAUUUACGGUUAUCGUAUUCAAAUUGACGCUAACACUAAUACACUUCGUACAGCGCUUAUAGUGCAUAUCUCAAGGAUCCGCAAUGCUAGAAUUAGAGAACGGAGAAAUUUAAGAAGAGGCAUAAGCACCACCUCAAAAUCCGACAUGAUUUCCCGGUAAGUAUGUUUCAAAGGUAGUUCAAUCAUGUUUGUGGUACAUAUGUGUUCUAAUGCUUCUAUAUCGAUCAUGCAGUGCGCCAAACAACCCUUGGGAUCAAAGGCAUGUGGCUUGUACACCUGCGAGAACCUAAGGUAAAGCAGGGAGUACACCAACAGCUGGAAGAAGCUCAAGGAAGCACUGAAGGAUCAUGGAGAGACGAUGAAGAAUGAACACCACGCUUUCAAGCAAAUCAAGGCGGACAUUUGUAAGUUCAUCCUAGAGAAAUGUGUGCUCGAAGGCGAACCAUUCUUUGACAAUGAAGGUGAAUUUGCGGUUCGACCUGAGUUCGAGAAGUUUAGGAGAUGGAACACCAUGCUACGGCCGACGGAUUACGUCCAUACAGUAGAAUUGUGAUGUAUAGCGGCUUCCUCGGUUUCCUAUGUGUAUAUGUGAAUGAUGAGAACAACUAAGUGGAUUUAUAUAUUAUGUCAUGUCUUAUGUAUUGAACUUCUAGGCAUAUAUAUAUAUAUAUACGGCAGCGCUAUUCUACACCCUAAAUCUGAGCAGAAAAAUACUGAGCAAUACUGAACAACGUUCAGUAUCAUCCAGGACCGCGAAAUACUGAAUAAUACUAAAAUAUGGGUACUGAAUAAUACUGAAAUUUGUUCAGUAUAACACUUUGGUGUAGAAUAGUAUUCUACACCUAGAGUGUAGAAUAGCACUAUAAACACCCGGCGACCCCGACCAGCCAUAUACGGGCUCCUUGACAAAUACACAAUGAAACACAACGAAGUUGUUAUGGUAUCCAAAGGAUUUUUCUAUGGUAAAGACUUUGUUUUGGCCGGCCGUCAUCUUAUCGCCCCGCACGGACACUUCUUACGUUCGUCGUCGCCCACCUGCUCAUCUUCCACUCGCCCCUGUCUCUCUCUCUCUCUCUCCCCCGCGUGGUCACCUUUCUUCCAUGAGCACGACAUGCUCCAGUGGACUCGCUCCCCAGUGCUGACUCUUUCCAGCUCCCCGUCGCCGCCUCCCUGCACCGCCACCUGGAUAGCGCCGCGCAUUUUAGCCUUUUGUUGCUAAUCUGGAGGUAGCUCAUUCAGAUCUAUAUUUUUGACACCUAUAUGAUGAUUCCUUUCAUGCAAGACAGUUAGUAUAAAUGUGUGCUGCUAUAUCAUGGCAUGUAGGCAAAUUAAGUCAUUUGUUAGGCAACAAUGUGCUCCUAAAUAGGCAAUGUAGCCUUCUAUUGAAAAUCUGGAGGUAGCUCAUCCAAAUCUAUAUUUUUGACACAUAUAUGAUGAUUCCUUGCAUGGACGGUAGGUGCUCACUGCGGCCUGAUCCGACGGUGGUUGCUUGGAUACUGUUACCAGAACAGUGUUCUGAGUCUGGGAGCUGUUCAUGUAUAGGAGUUUUGUGAGAGGGGGAGCAAUCUACAACUUUAAGUGUAUAGGAUAGAUGUGUGCUGCUAUAUCAUGGCAUGCAAGGUAGUUAGUCAAAUUUAUUAGACAAUAAUAGUGUACUGGAUUAGGCAAAAAAACACAAGGUUAUGUAAUUUUUGUUCAGUAACAUGCUAUGGUGUGCCUCAUGUUUAUGCAUUUGCAUAGACAAGGUUUCAGUACUUAUAUAUGCUAUAUGACAUCUAGUUGCUGCAAGCCUAAAUUUUUUUAACAUUUUUUACUUGCAGGUGUGAUGGUCUCUCAAGCAUCAACAUGGGAUAAAAUGAACAAAGAGAGCCAUGUGUGCAAGCGGGAUGCAUGGUGGAUCAGUAUAUAUAUUACCAACACAAGGAGAUUUAGUCCAAACAAGAUGUAUUUCUAUCGUAGUAGUACAUAAUAUCUACCUUUUCGUCUAUGUAUUCUAUAAGGGCAACGUAUCAUAUGCACCAGCUUCGUGUGCAACCUAUGCAACCACCAAUUAAGGUCACAUGAUCUAGAUCUAACGUCUGAGGAUUUUUUCACUUAAACCCCUCCACCUGUGGGUUUAAAUCUAACCCGUGUGUAUCUAGAUGGGAGGGUUUAAAUGAAAAAACCUCAGACGUUGGAUUUAGAUCUUGUGGCCUUAAUUGAUAGUUGCAUAGGUUGCACACGAAGCUGGGUUACACAGGAUACGUUCCCUUCUAUAAGAAGCCUGAGUUGCUAUACAAAACAUCUCAAGGUGCCCAAAAUGACAUAUGUGGAUUGUUAUACGAAAUAUCUCAAGAUGUCCAAAAUGUCAUGUGUGAUGAAUAGUUAUAUUUGAUUUCGGCUUAUUUUGGUGAAUGUAUCAAAUUUGUAAUAUUUGGGAUAUGAGCUAAAUAAUGCCUAGAAAAUCUAGGAGCAGCGAGUUAGUUGGAAGAAGUAGAAAACGACAACAAGAGAAAAAGGAGUGCAAAAGCAAAUAGGAAUGGUUACUGAUGGUUUUAAAAAACCUUCCGUAAACACGGAAUGUACGUACCGGAAGCUUAAUGCACGGCCGGCCGUGCAUUAGCCGUUUCCUAAAAAACGGUUUCUAGAAAAUGGGAACCGGUUGAUUCCAAAAUUCUAGUAAAUGAAAGUCUUACAAAAUACAAGUACAACUCAUGUAUUUAGGUUCUUUUGGUUAAUUGGUUAACCGAGAGUAGGAACCCAAGUUUCUUUGGUUAUUUCGGUUUUGGCUAUAUGACCGAAUAAAGAACUAAACCUUUUGGUUUCGAGUCUUUCAGUUUAAGUUCAGGUUCUUUUUUUUAUGUUUUUUUGGUUUCAGGUAGUUAUGCCCAUCCCUAGUAUUGGAGUAUAUUAAAGUGGAAAUUCACUCAGGGUCGAGGCCUUGAGGUUCUGUUUGACUGCACUCAUAUCUAUCCAAAUCGACAUUGUGUUAAGGCGGAUUAUGGUGAAAAUUAAACUAACUUAGAGCAUUUCCACCACUUUCCUAAUAAUCAAUCCCCAAUAUGUAUAUAUUGGAGUAAGCCAAUAUUAUUAUUCCUAAAUAUUGGAGUGCCUGCAACAUUACCCCAAUACCCAUAUGGAAGAUGGAUCCCAUAAGAAUGCAGGGAGAAAGAUGGAUAAAAAGUAGUAGUUGGGGGAAUCCCCAUGUUAUUGAGUGAGAUACAUCUUCCCCUUUAUUUGAGGAAGGAUGAGAAAAAUAUUAGUGAUAAAAAAGAAAGUAUUAGAGAACUGAGCAAGAAAGAAGCAUAGUUAUCUCUAAUAUGAUAUUUUUAUGGGAUAGGGAGAAGUAUUGGGGAUUUGGGGUACUAUCGGAGACGUUGUUACAUUUUUGCCACAAACUGUUGUCUGAGAGUUGCCUGUAAAGUUUAGAAAAUUUGGAAAAAUGUGUUUGGUUGGAUGCCUAUGCCUGAGAACGCUAACUAAAGUAAAUUGAUUUUGUAUUAUCUAAAUAAGACCCGCAUACAUUAUUAUUGUUUGUAUAUUGAGAUAAAUUAUUUGUAUUAGCCUUUUUCUGAGUUCGUAAGAUUAAAAUAAUUAUUUUUCGUUAUAUUUAAUUAGAGUGAAGCAUGAGGAAUUAAAGUAACUAUAAUUAAUUAUUUUUUAUAAGUUGUCUUGUCAAGUCCGCAUAACCAUGUACUCUAAUUCAAGUAAAAAAACGAUAUAGGAUUUAGAAAUCGUUUAUGACAGUGACAUGGUCUUCAAAAUACAACUUUAAUCUCUUAUUUUUAUAAAAAUAUUUAGAAAAAAUGAUAUAUGUAUAUUUUUAUAAAAGUAUUUUUCAAAAAUAAAUCUAUUCAUAUAAUUUUCACAUUUACAAACUUAACAAUUUAAAAGUUAUUGGUAAUUUAUAUUCUCAAUAUUUGACUCAAACUUUAUCCAAAAGAGCUUCUAAAUCCUAGGAGGGAGUAGUUAAUUAAGAAAAGAGAGAUAAGACAGAACCGGUGCGAUUAGCAUACCAUAGCUAUUUCCAGGCAAGUGAGCUUUUACACCAGGCGCUGGAUAUCGUCCGCAUGGCUGGGCCAUUGUUGCCUGGAGCAGGCAAGGUGCAACUAAACGGUGUACAGGCAAAAACCAGGCAGCUGUUCAUCGAGGUAAUUGGAGUCCUAGUUUAGACUAUCUCCAAUAAUCAUCACUUAAAAUACAAGAUUCAUUUGUCCUUUGGAUAGCGCUAUAGGUAAAAGGUUUCAUACAUAAUUUUAGUCUUCUCCAACAACAAGAUCUAACCGUGUGUUUGGUUGGGGGUUGGGUGGGUUGGGUUGGAUCCAACACAGUUUUUAGGGACGGAGCCAACCCGUCCAGUGUUUGGUUGCACUUCUGAUUUUGGGGACGGAGCCAACCCAUUUUAGUGUUUGGUUGAAGAAUUGGGGACAGAGCGGCUCCGUUCAGUGUUUGGUUGAAGGAAUUUAGUGUUUGGUGGGAGCCAACCCAGCUGGAGCGGCUCCGUCCGCCAGAUUUUGACGGACGAGUCCAACCCGCAUCUGAGAGGAAUAUUCCACCCUGGAGCCAACCCAACCCUCUCAUCCUCCAACCAAACAGCCACAGGAAUGAGUUCGCUCCGACCCGGCUCGCCCCGCUCUCCAACCAAACACACGGUAAAAGACAACACUUUCUGCAAAUGGGUCUCGAGAAGAGAGGAUACCCAAAUUUAAAUUAUGUCUCUCCUAAUACUUAAAAUGAGUUUUCUGUAUGUGUACUUUAUUGAUACUAUAGGUAUUGUGUUGAAGACCCAUUUUAGGUUUGGGUUCCCAAAUAGGUCUUCUAUUUGAGACAAUCUUAGAAAAAAAAAGCCUAUCCCAGGUGUAUAGGAUGGAAAACACGUGAAAGAAUGAAAGCUAUCACCUAUUCUAGAUACAGAUAUGGUUCAGGUUACAGACCACCUUGCUAUUCCUCUAUUUCAAAUUAUAAGUCAUUUAAAGAAUCUUGGAAAGUCAAAACAUCUCUAGGUUUGAUCAAAAUUAUAGAGAGAAAUACUAAGAUUUGUAACAUAAAGUGAGUAUAUUAUGAAAAUAUAAGUAAGAAAGAAUCUAAUGAUACUUAGUUGAUAUCAUAAUAAUUAUUAUUUUAUCAUAUAAAUUUAGUUAAACUUUAGAUAUUUUUAUUCUCCAAAAUUCUUAAAAUAACUUAUAAUUUAGGAUGCAGGAAGUACAUCGGUAUAAACUAUGUUGUAAACUGUUGUUAAAGCUAAUUCUUCGUUGCAUGAAUCUAAGUCAAAACUUGCGAUGAUGCGGGAGCACAUGGCCAUGUACUCCCUCUAGUCCUCCUUUGAGCAGCAGCUGCAUCAGGCUUUCUCAAACACACUACGGUGGUAUGUUGUCUCGGUGUCCACCUCAGCUUCAGACUUCCAUAUCAUAGAAAAUUAGCCUCGCAGAGAGUCAUAUUGUCUUGCAAAGGAAACCAUUACCUCAUCUGACAAAAGUCAGAAGCAACAUCGGGAGCGCGGUGCGGUGGGAGUAAACUUUCUCAGGCUAGAAUAGAGUAGUGUGCUGAGUGUGGAUCUCGAAAGAGACAACACACAUACAACUUACAUUGAGAAUAAUCCUUCGGGUGUACGUGGAGGGUGACCUUUUCUCUAGGGCUAAUGCUGCUAUAUGCCCGCGUUGUUAUUGGCCUCACACGGCUCCGCACAUGCUUCAUCGUGUCAUUGUCGAGCCUGGCGUCAUGGAUUUUGGCCAUGUCUCCCGUGCGGGAGGGGUUCAUGAGAAUAAUGUGUUUUGUUUGGGUUGGACCUUGUUUAGCACUACUACACAAUAGGCCUUUAGUCACUUGUCCAAAAUGAACAAUAAUCUCGACCAAAACAGCGUCAGGGACAAAAACAUAUUUAGUCUCGGUUGGUGAGACCAACCGGGACUAAAAGUCCCCUACCCAACGGCUAUUGUGUCAGACAUCGGCGGAGGAGACUUUUAGUCCCGGUUGGUCUCACCAACCGGGACAAAAGCCUAGCCUUUAGUCCCGGUUGGUGGUACCAACCGGGAUUAAAAGCUGUUGUCCCGGUCCGUCCCACCGGCCGGGACUAGUGUUGGAAUUUAGACCCGGUUUUUAAAAGGACCGGGACUAAAUGUCCCUCCCCAUAUUUGAACUCUUCUUCCCGUGGCCGAGCCCAUCGAUCUUCACUCUUUUGCUCUGUUCUUCAUUUGGAGUUGCUUGUUCUUGCUCUCAUCUCCGGCUAUUGAUUCAUUUCAUUGUUUCUACACCGUCAUCGACUUGUUAAGAGGUCACUAGCUUCAUCUUCUCAACAUUUAGAAGCGGCAUAUGUCAUUUCCUAGUGUUAUGUAUAUUGUUUUUUUAUUUUAUGGUUUUUUUAAGAGGUUAUUAGCUUCAUCGCCAUUUCAAAAGCGACACGUUCUUUUAGAGAAAUAGUGGUAAUAUGUUUUUUUAUUUUAAUUAGUUUAGAAAAAAAAUAAAAACAUAUAAUACUUUAAUUUGCAAUUUUUGACCGAUUUAGUUAGUUAAUUAUAACUAGUAUGCAUACCACAUUUCAUGAUUAUUUAGGAAAAUAGAGAAUUUUUGUGCUUUUUUAAUAUUGCUUGUUUAGAUAAAUUAGAAAUAGAGAAUUUUAGGUUUUUUGUUACUUUAAUUUCUCUAUUAAAAAUUAGAAACUUAUAAUACUUUAAUUUGCACUUUAUGACAUGGUUAAUUAGUUAAUUAUAACUAGUAUGCAUGCCACAUUUCAUGAUUAGUUAGAAAAUAGAGAACUUUUAUGUCUUUUUAAUUUUGUUGGUUUAGAAAAACCAGAAAUAGAGAAUUUUAGGUUAUUUGUUACUUUAAUUUCUUUAUAAAAAAUUAGAAACUUAUAAUAUUUUACAUUGCAAUGCAGACAAUGACACGUCAUUGGAUGUACAAUGCCGAUCGCCGCUCCAAAGAAUUCAUUGAUGCUGUGCAUUAUUUCUUAAGAGUGGCCGAGGAAAACAAGGGGGAUGGAUUCAUACGUUGCCCAUGUGCCUUGUGUCAGAAUUUGAAGGAAUAUUCUAGCUCUAGAAAUAUUCACUCACAUUUGUUGAAGUCGGGUUUUAUACCAAACUAUAUUUGUUGGACCAAGCAUGGAGAAAACGGGAUAAUGAUGGAAGAAGGUGAAGAAGAACAGUUGGAGCCUGACGACAUUAUUGCUCAAUACGGUGACUUCGGUGAUACAGCAAUGGGAGAAGCUGAAGAUGAGGCAGGUGCAGAAGGUGCACCUGUUGAAGAUGAUGCUCUUGGUGAUGUCAUUCGUGAUGCACAAAAAGAUUGCGAAAGUGAAAAAGAGAAGACAAAGUUUGACCACAUGUUAGAAGAUCACAAGAAAUUACUAUACCCAUCUGCCCAGGAUGGGCAAAAAAAACUGGGUACAACACUAGAAUUGUUAAAAUGGAAGGCACAGAAUGGUGUAUCCGAUAAGGCAUUUGGGCAAUUACUGAAGAUCCAAAAAAAAUGCUGCCGAAGCCUAAUGAACUGCCCACUACUACGUACGAAGCAAAACAGAUCGUCUGUCCUUUGGGAUUAGAAAUCAAGAAGAUACAUGCAUGUCCUAACGACUGCAUCCUAUACCGUGGCAAGGACUACGAGAAUUUAGAUGAAUGCCCCAUAUAUAAAGCAUCACGGUAUAAGAUUAGGCGAGAUGACCCUGGCGAUGUUGAGUGGGAAGAACGUCCUAGAAAAAAAAUCCCUGCAAAGGUUAUGUGGUAUGCUCCUAUAAUACCACGUCUGAAACGUCUUUUUAGAAAUAAGGACCAUGCAAAAUUGUUGCGGUGGCACAAAGAAGACCAUAAAGUAGACAACAUGUUGAGACACCCUACUGAUGGGUCCCAGUGGAGAGCAAUAGACAGGGAAUUUCCAAAGUUUGCAAAAGACGCAAGAAACUUAAGGUUCGCUUUAAGUACGGACGGUAUGAAUCCUUUUGGUGAGCAAAGCAGUAGUCAUAGCACUUGGCCUGUUACACUAUGUAUCUACAACCUUCCUCUAUGGUUAUGCAUGAAGCGAAAGUUCAUUAUGAUGCCGGUGCUCAUCCAAGGCCCGAAGCAACCGGGCAAUGACAUUGAUGUCUAUCUAAGGCCAUUAAUUGAAGAACUCCUUCUUUUAUGGAGUGAAACAGGUGUUCGUGUGGCGGAUGAGUACAAACAGGAACACUUCGACCUACGAGCACUGUUGUUUGUGACAAUCAAUGAUUGGCCUGCUCUAAGUAAUCUUUCAGGGCAGACAAACAAGGGAUAUAAUGCAUGCACACGUUGUUUUGAUGACCUUGAUAGUAUAUAUUUGAAAAAAUGCAGAAAGGUCGUGUACCUUGGGUAUCGUCGAUUUCUUUCUAUGAAUCACCCAGUUAGAAAGAAAGGAAAGCAUUUUAAAGGUAAGGCAGACCACCGAUGCAAGCCUCGCAACAGAACUGGAGAUGUAUUUGAGAUGGUUAAGGAUGUGAAAGUAGUUUUUGGUAAGGGACAAGGCAGCCAACCAGUUCCAAAAGAUGCAGCGGGUCAUGCACCCAUGUGGAAGAAGAAGUCAAUAUUUUGGGAGUUACCCUAUUGGCAAGUCCUAGAGGUCCAGAAUGCGAUCGACGUCAUGCACCUAACAAAGAAUCUUUGUGUGAACCUUCUAGGAUUCAUGGGUGUAUAUGGUAAGCCUAAGGAUUCACUUGAAGCACGACAAGACUUGCAACGCACGGAAGAACGAGACAACCUGCAUCCAGAGAAGACAGAUGAUGGACGCCAAUAUUUAAGACCUGCUAGCUACACUCUUAGCAAUGAAGAGAAAGAAAUCAUGUUUGAAUGCUUAAGCAGCAUCAAGGUCCCAUCUGGAUUCUCCUCUAAUAUAAAAGGUAUAAUUAAUGUGCCUGAGAAGAAAUUUUUGAACUUAAAGUCGCAUGACUGCCAUGUGCUUAUGACGCAAUUGCUUCCAGUUGCAUUAAGAGGAAUUCUACCUCCACAUGUACGUCUGGCCACCGUAAAGCUAUGUGCAUUCCUCAAUGCAAUUUCUCAGAAGGCAAUCAAUCCACUGGAACUAGCUGCUCUACAGAAUGAUGUGGUUCAAUGUCUUGUCAGCUUUGAGUUAGUGUUCCCUCCAUCCUUCUUUGAUAUCAUGACACACCUCCUAGUUCAUCUGGUCAAGGAGAUCAAUAUUCUAGGUCCUGUGUUCCUACAUAAUAUGUUUCCCUUUGAGAGGUUUAUGGGAGUUCUGAAGAAAUAUGUUCACCAACGUGCUCGGCCAGAAGGAAGCAUCACCGAGGGCUAUGGGACAGAGGAGGUCAUUGAGUUCUGUGUUGAAUUCAUUCCUGAACUUGACCCAAUUGGUGUUCCUGAAUCGCGCCACGAGGGGAGACUGAGUGGAAAGGGAACACUAGGAAAGAAAACAUACAUCGGUACGGGGGACGAUUCUUUCAAUAAAGCACCCUACACAGUUCUUCAAAACUCAUCCGUGGUGGAGCCGUAUGUCACGAAACACAAGGACUUCCUACGAUCGCAAUUCCCAGAGNNNNNNNNNNNNNNNNNNNNNNNNNNNNNNNNNNNNNNNNNNNNNNNNNNNNNNNNNNNNNNNNNNNNNNNNNNNNNNNNNNNNNNNNNNNNNNNNNNNNNNNNNNNNNNNNNNNNNNNNNNNNNNNNNNNNNNNNNNNNNNNNNNNNNNNNNNNNNNNNNNNNNNNNNNNNNNNNNNNNNNNNNNNNNNNNNNNNNNNNNNNNNNNNNNNNNNNNNNNNNNNNNNNNNNNNNNNNNNNNNNNNNNNNNNNNNNNNNNNNNNNNNNNNNNNNNNNNNNNNNNNNNNNNNNNNNNNNNNNNNNNNNNNNNNNNNNNNNNNNNNNNNNNNNNNNNNNNNNNNNNNNNNNNNNNNNNNNNNNNNNNNNNNNNNNNNNNNNNNNNNNNNNNNNNNNNNNNNNNNNNNNNNNNNNNNNNNNNNCAGAUAUUUCAAAAGAUUAUGAAAGGGAUGACCGAAUCACGCUUUUCAAUGUGACCAAAGAUCCGAGCAUACUGAUAAAUGCUGAGGACACUCCAUGGUUACGUCAAGAUCAUGACCAAGGAACAUACGUCAAAAAGAAGAUCACUAUUGUGCCCGCCUAAUAAAUAGAUUGCAAUAUAGUAUGUGUAUGUGACAUUUGUAACUUAAGAUGUUUAUAUUAGUUUUUCUUAUUUUAUAUCAUUUCAAAUAAUGAAAUGACAUUUAAGUUUGCUAUAUGAAACUACAUGUGUCAAUUGUGGAUUUUGAACUACACCUUCGCAACACUUUGUCAAAUGCAAAAAAUGGUCUAUAUAUUAAAUGUAGAUUUUGAUGAGUGGAACAAUAUUGGUAUUCAUGACUUUUCCGUUCGAGACCAUCUAGGGUUCCGAAAACCAAUGCGUGGCUAUGAAUUCUAUCAAAAUUCAAAAUUGAGUGGUUCAAACUUUUCCAAAAGAAAAGUUGACCAUUAGACAAAAUGUAGAACUUGAUGAGUGCAACAAACUUUGUAUUCAUUACUUUUCCAUUUGGGACCAUAUAGGGUUCGGUCAAAGUGUGUGUUUCUAAAAACCAAUGCUUUGACUUUGGUCAAACUUGGUCAAAUGACCCAUUUGAUGACUUGAAAUGAAAAAAAUUUGAAUACAAAGUUGUUAGAGAUCAUCAAGAUCUACAUUUGAUAUAUUGUCUAUUUUUCCAUUUGGAUAAAUUUGACGGUAUUGGUCAAACUUGGUCAAAUGACAAACUAAAUUACUUAAAAUGAAACAAUUUUGAAUACCAAGUUGUUAGAUAUCAUCAAGAUCUAAACUUUUUAUAUAGAUAAUAGAUCUAAACUUUUUAUAUAGAUAAUUUUUCCAUUUGAGAAAGUUUAAGUUCACAAUACCCACCAAUUCUUGAAUCUCACACAAACUAUAUGAAACUACAUGUGUCAAUUGUGGAUUUUGAACUACACCUUCGCAACACUUUGUCAAAUGCAAAAAUAGUCUAUAUAUUAAAUGUAGAUUUUGAUGAGUGGAACAAUAUUGGUAUUAAUGACUUUUCCAUUCGAGACCAUCUAGGGUUCCGAAAACCAAUGCGUGGCUAUGAAUUCUAUCUAAAUUCAAAAUUGAGUGGUUCAAACUUUUCCAAAAGAAAAGUUGACCAUUAGACAAAAUAUAGAACUUGAUGAGUGCAACAAACUUUGUAUUCAUUACUUUUCCAUUUGGGACCAUAUAGGGUUCGGUCAAAGUGUGUGUUUCUAAAAACCAAUGCUUUGACUUUGGUCAAACUUGGUCAAAUGACCCAUUUGAUGACUUGAAAUGAAAAAAAUUUGAAUACAAAGUUGUUAGAGAUAAUCUGAUGUAAUGGUGAAUAUUGUUGUAAGCAUAAAUAAAUAAGAAAUAGAGAAAAAUUUUAAAAAAAUAAUUCGAUGUAAUGGUGAAUAUCACGUAUAUCAUGAUUUUGGAGAUAAAUGAUGAUAAAUAAACAAAAUUUACAUUUAAAUAUUGCACAAACAAAUUUUUCUAUCAAAAACAUCUGCUUUAAGAUAUUAAAAUUAAAUAAUACAUUUUUGCAUUAACAAAAUACUAAUUAUUUUUCAUAUUUAAGUUUGUUAAUUGUCGAGGGUAUCAGUAAGGGGUAUCCUCACUAAUGCACAUAACAAGAUUACCCGUAUGCAGGUCGAGGCCCUCAACUCGACCCUAAACCCUAAACCCUAAACCCCUACCUGGCGCGCCAACUGUCGGUGUUUUCCCACGGGGGUCACACCAACGAGUAAAUUUGUAUGCGUGCUCCCUUUCCCAAAUGGUGAUGCAAGAAUACACAAAGAUUUAUCCUGGUUCGGGCAAGAGAAGGCCCUACGUCCAGCGGGGGAGGGAAGUUUGUAUUAUCUUGCACCUAAGUGCUUGUACAGGGGUGGAUACAAGCGUGGUAUGGAAUGGAGUAUGGGAGUUCUACUGAGUAUGGUGUAGUGUUGCGCGUGUGUUAUCUAUUCCCGGGUCCUUCCUUUUAUAGCACCAAGGAGAGACCGAGGGUACAUGCGUAGGUAUCAGAGUAGGGGUCGAUAGAAGCAUGGCGCGCUGACCUACUCGAGGCCUCCGUACCGGCGUAGUCUCGAGCCGUCCCGUCUCGGUAGCUUGAUGAUGAUUACGCGUGCUCCUGUAUCCUGCUCUGCGCGCCGUCUUGGGCUGGUUCACCGAUCGCACGCUUGUACGGUAUGGCGGCAGAUCUGGCGGAGUGGUUGCGGUGUUGUCAGUCGACGCCCAAUUCGUCUCCAAGAAGGAACCAUGUCUGGUCGAGGGUCGGACGCCGUGCAAUCCCCUGAUAUCCGGAGCGCUGACCUUGGUUGUCUCGAGGAGGUCCUGAUUAGACGUUCCAUUCCUGUUUCCCACGUCCUGACACGCCCUGGGUUGUUUGGUGGGGAAGGCUGCAAAAAGUACGACGGGACAGGUGCCUGUUCCCUAUCACGCUUCCCGUGAUCAGCGCGUUAGGUGGGAAAGCGACAGGCGCAUUAAAUGCCCUGGCUCUCGUGCGUGCGUCAGGCGACGGGCGGCGUCCUUGCGCUCGACGCCUCCUGGUUCGCGCGAGCCCGUUUCCGUAUUCGACGGUAGCUGGUGCUCGACCCCUGAUCGAUUCGCUCGAUGCCAUUUCCGUCUUUGAGGCUGCGGUCGUCGACGACCGCGCAUAUGUAUGACCAGAGCGUCGAGUUGAGGGCCUCGACCUGCAUACGGGUAAUCUUGUUAUGUGCAUUAGUGAGGAUACCCCUUACUGAUACCCUCGACAUUAAUAUAAGUGAUGAAAAGAUUUUAUGUUUCCAAAUUUAUUAUGUAACCAAUUAGACAAAAAGAAAUGGAACUAUUAUUUUUUAACAAAUUAAUACCUAUUAUUCUAUUUACUAUGCAAUGAAAAACAUUAAUCUAAUUAUUGUAUGCAUAAAUAAAUAAGAAACUGAAAAAUACAUUUAGUCCCGGUUUCUGGCUAGAACUGGGACCAAAGGUUGUAUUUAGUCCCGGUUCUAGCUAGGAACCGGGACUAAAGGGUGGACCUUUAGUCCCGGUGCGUAGCACCAACCGGGACUAAAGACCCUUUAGUCCCGGUUGGUGUUAGUGUUACGCACCGGGACUAAAGGUCUCCGCGUGUAUAUAAGAAAACUGUCGUCUUCAUCCUCCAGAUCGACGUUGCCCUAGCCUUCUUCACCGCUGCCGCUCCCCGCGCUGCCUCCACAUCCUGCCCGAGCCACCGCUGCCUCCUUCUUCUCCGGCGUAGAGACUCUCCCGGACGAGCGCCGCCGCCGCUUCCUCGCCUCCGGACAUCGUCGCGCCGCCUCCUCGUCAUCCCCGAGCCGUACGUCGUCGUCGCGCCCCUGUGCGGCCUUCGAGCUUCUCCGGCGCCGCCUCCUCGCCCUCAUCGCCCCCGCGGCCACCUCCUCGCCCUCGUCAGAGCGCCUCCGACCGUCGCUCUCCUCCCCGGCCAGAGAACGCUCGCGCCGCCGUCGUCGAGGAUGAGCACGUUUAGUGAAUUUUAUUUGAAUGAAUGAGGCGGCGCCGGAGAAGAAUCCGUUCCCAAACGAUUUUAGUGAAUUUUAUGAAUGAGAUGAUUUUAGUGAAUUGUAUGAAUGAGAUGAUUUUAGCGAAUUGUAUGAAUGAGAUGAUUUUAGUGAAUUUUAUUUUUGAAUGAAAAGAAUCGGUUCCCAAACGCAUGAUAAAAAUCAUUUUAGUGAAUUUUAUUUGAAUCAAAACUAUAAUUUAAACUAUGAAUCUGUUGUGGCCCAAAUGCAUGAUAAAAAUCAUUUUAGUGAAUUUUAUUUGAAUCAAAACUAUGAAUCGGUUCCCAAACGCAUGCCCACGAGAAAUACGUACCUCUCGCCAAAAUAUACUCCUACAUCUAUACUUGUUGCACUCCGAUCGACGAAACACAUGCGCUCACGAAAUGUACACUUUUUAAAAAUCAAACAAUUCAAAAUAUUUAUGACAUUUCUAUAAAAGAUAUAAAUAUUAUUAGAUUAAUUAUUUAUAUAUUUUUAUACUAUAAAUUUACUUGAGACAUAACCUUGUUGUGUAUAGUUGAACUUGAAUAUAGAAAGCACAAGUUACUUUAAUUUAAAUAAAAAUUGUAAUUUAUCCUGUGUUGUAAUUAGUUAGUAGGGAUAGAUAUUGAGAUGAGAUGUAUAAUUUCUAUUUUAUAAAAUAUUUUUUGUAUUAUAUAAUUUAUAUGUUAUAAUUUAUCCAGUGUUGUAAUUAGUUAGUAGGGAUAGAUAUUGAGAUGAGAUGUAUAAUUUCUAUUUUAUAAUUUAUCUUUUGUAUUAUAUAAUUUAUAUGAUAUAAUUUAUUCUGUGUUGUAAUUAGUUAGUAGGGAUAGAUAUUGAGAUGAGAUGUAUAAUUUCUAUUUUAUAAUUUAUAUUUUGUAUUAUAUAAUUUAUAUGAUAUAAUUUAUCAUGUGUUGUAAUUAGUUAGUAGGGAUAGAUAUUGAGAUGAGAUGUAUAAUUUCUAUUUUAUAAUUUAUCUUUUGUAUUAUAUAAUUUAUAUGAUAUAAUUUAUCCUGUGUUGUAAUUAGUUAGUAGGGAUAGAUAUUGAGAUGAGAUGUAUAAUUUCUAUUUUAUAAUUUAUCUUUUGUAUUAUAUAGUUUAUAUGAUAUAAUUUAUCCUAUGUUGUAAUUAGUUAGUAGGGAUAGAUAUUGAGAUGAGAUGUAUAAUUUCUAUUUUAUAAUUUAUCUUUUGUAUUAUAUAAUUUAUAUGAUAUAAUUUAUCAUGUGUUGUAAUUAGUUAGUGGAGAUAGAUAUUGAGAUGAGAUGUAUAAUUUCUAUUUUGUAUUAUAUAAUUUAUAUGAUAUAAUUUAUCAUGUGUUGUAAUUAGUUAGUAGGGAUGGAUAUUGAGAUGAGAUGUAUAAUUUCUAUUUUAUAAUUUAUCUUUUGUAUUAUAUAAUUUAUAUGAUAUAAUUUAUCAUGUGUUGUAAUUAGUUAGUAGGGAUAGAUAUUGAGAUGAGAUGUAUAAUUUCUAUUUUAUAAUUUAUCUUAGUUGUUGUAUCGAAUAUUGUCUAAGUUUAGCCUAUCUAAAUAAUUUUUGUUGAUCGCGUCAAAAACUUUUAACACUUGAUUAAAUUUGCAGAAAUGGCCAAUCCGAAUGACAACAUGGAUGAUGCAAUGAUGGACCUACUCAACAGCGGUGCCAAUCCAGAUCCCCAAGGCGAAGAUGAUGGGAGUCAGUACUUUGCUGAUUAUGAAGAAUUUGUGGGAGACAAUCCUGAUCAGGUCUAUCUACAAUCUAGUAUAUAUGUAUAUAUAUGAAAUUAAAAUAAAUGACAUUUAUACUAAUAUAUUUAUACUUGUUUGUGUAGCCCUCUAAAUCGGCGACAACUUAUGAGAGAGUAGAAAAGUGCGCGGUCCGAAGAAGCCGUUGGAGGGUCGGUACAUUCUGUCGGAAUUCGAUGAGGGUACAGGACAAGUACUUGGAGCUAAUUCUAAAAAAUUUGUUGCGCACUGUGGCUACCUUGUAAGGGACAGGCUCCCGGUCAGUGCUCGUGAAUGGAGGCAACGGAAAGAUAACCCUAAUAUUAGUUUUGUCUCAGAUCGUGACAAGGAAUUGAUUUGGCAAGAUAUCCUUCAACAUUUCACGCUCGAUACACAGGAUGAAGCUUUGAAGGAGAAGGUUAAAAUCUGGGCUAUGCAGAAGAUGGCCAAACAAUUUCAGGCUUGGAGGAAGACAUUAUACAAGACUUUUGUUGCACAAGGCCGGACACCAGAUUUCACCAACAAGGCCUACGUCAAGUUGAGGCCUUUUUGGGAUGAGUUCGUAGAGUUUAAGAACUCAGAAGAGGGUCAGGCACGGAUGAUCAAGAAUCAAGAAAAUGCUAAACAAAAGCAAUACCACCAUCACUUGGGUUCAGGUGGCUACAGAACUGCUAUUCCUAAGUGGCAAAAGCUGGAACAGGAGAUUCUUGGGAGAGGGAUCGAACCAGAAUCAAUGCACUGGCCCGAGCGCGCCAAGUAUUGGUUCUUUGGUCAUGGGGGAACCAUAGACCUAGAGACCGGAAAGAUAGUGUACGGCGAAAAGCUCGAGAGAGUAGGACAGAGAAUGGCCUAUGCUAGAGGAUUAGUUGAAAGCGGCACCUGGCAGCCAAAUAGAGAAAAGGAUGAGCUGACAUACGCCCUGGAGACUGCUGAACACGGUGGGCGAACCAGAGGCUAUGGGGAGAUAUCAUGGGAGCAUGGCUUCCCUAAAGAUAGACCGACUUAUAGAAGCCGCCAACGAAAGAAGAAAGAGGAAGCAGAGCGGUUGCAUAGGUUGGAGGCAAUGGUGAUUGAGUCACGCGAAGCGGAUCGUAAAGCGAUAGCGCAAGAGAAAGCGCUUGAAGAGAGAAUGAACGAGGAGAUCAAAACACAAGUGCAGAUUACAGUAAGUUCUAUACAAGGGCAAACUGCAUCAGAGCCUAGAGUCAACAUUAGCCCCCCCCCCCCGGUCAGUUGAAAAGUAGUUGCGCUUCCACAGAGAUGCCAACUAUUCAAGACGACGUGGGGCUGCACUUUCCGGGGGAUGACAUCACUGAACCUCUGACAACAUGUGAGCUGCACAUUCCACAGGGGACUGCCACAGUCAUGGUUGCUGUCGCUGUUGUAACUCCUGUCGACCCUACGAGGACACCAAGAAUCCAUGGGGCGAUAGUUCCACCUGGAUAUGCUAGUGUCUCGGUGGAUAGAGUUGUCAAAGGCUUCAGUAAUGUGCAGCUUGAGAUAGAAGGAGGUGAUGGAGAGAAGACUCUAGGAGAAGCAGAGAAGACUUUUAUUUGUUGGCGCAAGCGCUACAUCAUUAUUCCUGGGGCAUCACCUAGUAGUCUACCACCACCUCCUUGUCAUGAAUCUAAUCCUAGGUGCGGAUGAAAAUUGACAAUACAUUUGUUCACUAAAUUUAUUUUGCAUUCUCUUAGUUAGCGGUUUACUCAUAUACCUUUUGUUUUCACAGGUGGUCACCGACAUGUCAUAGUGCUGCGGGUGAUGACGAGGGAGUGCAAGACACGGCUGCAUCGCCUCGAUCUCCAACGCCACCACCUAGGGCUCUAACACCGCCACCUCGGGCUCCAACACCGCCACCUCAGGCACCAACACCGCCACCUAGGGCUCCAACGCCACCUAGGGCUCCAACACCGCCUCCUCGGGCUCCAACACCGCCACCGGCCGCCCCAUCGCCUCCACACGUGGCUCCAGCACGAAAGAAGAGGCCGGCCACACAAUCAAAUGUGUCGGCCGCCCCGCCGCAAAAAAGAAAGCCUCCGAAAAGAAACAAGCUAUCAUUCCUAAGAAGCUGUCCAAUGAGAAGACUGAUGCAGAACUAAAUGCUUCAGUAAAAUCAGACGUGGAUAGUUUCUUCAAGAAACUUAAGACUGAAAGAGAAGCCAAGCGAAACCUUGAGAAGCCGUACCUCUUACUACGGCCAUAAGAUCUACGACAAAGGGUUGAGGUUGAACAAAAAAAGAGACAUGAAGCUCAGAAAGAAUCAUCAUCUUUAUCGGACUAUGAUCGCACUUUAAGAAAAUCCCUAGAAGAAGAGAAUAAGAAAGAGAAAAGAGCACGCAAGGGUGUAGCACAGCUCGGGGAACAAUCAAAGCAAUCAGUGCCCCCGCUAGUCAUUGGAAAUGAAUAUGGUUCAAACAUUGACGUGCUAGACCAGCAGAUACCGGCAGAUUUAAAAUUUGAAGAGCUUGAAAAUUUUUUGCGGAAACUGGUCUUAGCUUAGCCCAAAUGAUAGCAGGGGCAUCAAUUGAAAGUGCUCCACAAAUUGAUCAUUGGCAGAAGGAAUAUACAUAUGACAAGAGUUUAUACAACCCUGCGGCCCUCAACAAGCUUGGAACGCAAAUGUACAUGCUAAACAAAUGGUACAUGGAAGCGUGUGUCAGAAAAGCAGAUGACUAUAUUUGUGUCCGAAUUAGAAACUAUCAUUACUUCCAUGGUGAUGAUAUUAUUUAUGUUCAAUUGAAUGAGCUACACCAACUAUGCCACAUGGACGCUCGACAAAUCUCUAAUGAGUUGCUUCUGUCUGUAAAUGAUUCUUCCUUUCAAUAAUGUCUCUGUAACUUAUCAUGUAUAUAUAUAACUAAUUACAGAAACCCGUUAUACAUAUGCAGAAACAUGAUGAGGGACCUUAGAGUUAGAAAUGACAAGGAGAUUGGAUUUGUGGAUCCAAAUGUUGUAUUCAAAGACCACAAGACCCCGUAUGUUUUAUGGAGAACUCAAACGGAGAGAAAUCUACGGAGGUUCUUGAUCAACCAAAAAGAUAAAAGAUAUAUACUCUUUCCCUACAACUUUAAGUAAGUGUCGUUAUCGUGUGUACAUUCUAUUUAACUAAUUAAUCAGAUCAAUAUGAAGAUAUAUACUAAUUUUGCCUACAUAUGCACACAAAUGCAGCUUUCAUUGGAUACUAGUUGUCAUUGAUCUCUGGCAAUGUCAAUUGGUAAUCUAUGACUCAUUGAGAAAACUACAUGAUGAUUACUGUUGAUAUUUGGGAACGCAAUAAGGAAUUGAUCCGCAAGCGCACGGAUAUCGGUGAGCACUUCACCCGGGAAAUUAUCCAGAGUAUCGUAUUUAUUUUUUUUACCACUAGGAGAAAGAGUGCAUCUGACUAACCGGUCUAUUACUACUAACCUUUAGGCACAAAGAAUGUCUUUCGAUGUGAGUGAUAAAUAGAUAAGACUGCAACCGUAGUCUCCUUCUAACCUUGGUAAGGAUGAUCUACUGUUCUAAUGGGGAGGCUAACGUAAUCUAGACACCACAAAGGAUGUUCAACCCGCACCUAUAAACCCUAUCCUUCCUGCUAACGAGAUGUGAUCUACAAAGGUAGCUCGGAAUUGUCACGUUCCUCACUACUACCACGGUCCAGCUAGUCAGGGAAUAUCUAUGAGUACCCCAGCCUAAACACCACGUUUACGCCAGCAAUGAUUACUCUAAACUCUACGCGAAGAGAUUAAAGUUAACUCAUAUACCAUAAGAACAAUAAAACAAGAACUUACUAGAAUUUAGAAGUCGAAUUACUGAAGAAUCCUAGGAGCAAGAUUCGGGUUAGGAGAACUUGAUCCCGCAGGUACAAGCUUGGAGUAGACACCGACAGGCCGGGCUUCCUCCAAUCUAUACCUCCACUCUAUCUCUCUCAAUCUAGUAGAAACUAGAAGAUCUAUUUCUACCUUACAUUGAUUGCUAAGCCUAAAAAGAAAUAUUAAUUAGAGAAGAGGUUUUCCUUCGAGGGCACCCCUCAGUCUCUAUGAUAAUUUCUUCAUGUCUUCUCCAGGGGCCAGGGGGGUCUCCUUAUAUAGUCCUCCUCUUCUAUGCGUUUUUGGGUCGAUAGGCGAGGUGGUACUAUGUUUUUCUUGAUCCAAUAGGUCGGUGGAAUAUUCCGAGCGAAGAGAGUCCUGAUUGGCAUCCAGAGGGGGGCGGGCGCCCAGGUCACCAGGGCGGGCGCCCUGGGCCUGGCCCCUUUCGGCCUCCGUCUUCUUCCCGUGGCUUCUGGAGUCUUCUAGAUGGUGGAAAAUCGUGCGGUGCGUUGAUAUCUCUAUGUAAUCCCGACAUGUGGGCCUUUCUUCCUUAUUUCCUGAUAACCCCCUGCAGAAAUAGAUAAACAACAAAACUCGUGGAAUUCUGUCAGAUCAAACCCUAAUUCUAGGUGUUAGUUGCAUAUUGGUCCUUUCUCUUGUUUAUUUGAUAAUUAAAAUUGAUACUUAAGAACCGUCAACAAUUACCAAGAAAUGAUAGAUAUUAUCCAAGGGUAACUCCGAUCUCUAUAUAUUAAAUUCUGCUCUUUUAACUUGGUAAUGGAUAAUUAAUAAUGAUCGUUUUAUUGCUAGGGUUUGGGCUGGGUUCGUGCAGAAACACCGUCCAGAGUUGAAUGCAGCACUUUCAAAGCCAAUCUUACUUCAGUAGGUUCUACGACAGACACUGGGCAACAAUUUGUGUGGCUACUAUGUGUGCGAGUUUAUGACGGUGUAUGCCAAAAGAACUAAUCUUGAGCACCUAAAAGUAUGUAACAUGUAUAUAUAAUAAGUUUAUUUCAUUUAUUUGUUGCUAUUUAAUAAAUCCUAUUCAUACCUCUAACUUUUUUCUUUAAUGUCUAUUAAAGGAGAUGUGGCUGAAGGAGCAGGUGUUGGAUGCGGUGCACCUAAAAGGAAUUCAGGAGACAAUCACAGGAUUUCUUAACGACCAAGUCCUGGAUUCCGGCGGCGAGUGCUACUUCAACCCUCAGGAGCAGAUGAAACCAAAUAACGAUGAUCAUUUGUACGAUGCUUGAGUGGUGGAGAUAAAUUGUGUUGUAAAUACUUUGUCCGUGAAGCAUAUGUGUAAAUAUUUUAUUAUGGACCUAUAGAUACAUAUUAUUUUUAUAUAUAUAGUGUUUUAUAGUAUAUUUAUAUGUAAUCAUUUAAAUUAUAUAAAUUAUAGGUGCGCGUUCCAUAAACUACCAGCAAACAAUACGCAUUCGAAAAUAACAAUAACAUAAUUGUAAACCCUAAAUGGAAAACCAAAUGAAAAGAAAAAGAAAAAAGAAAAAAGACUUUAGUCCCGGUUGGUAGCAACAACCGGGACUAAAAGUGGAGGCCAGGUGGCACACCCUGGCGCACCUUUUAGUCCCGGUUGCUGUUACCAACCGGGACUAAAGGUGGACCUUUAGUCCCGGUCUACGGAAUCGGGACUAAAGGUGGGACAUUUAGUCUCGAAACCUUAGCUCCGGUUUCCGUAGCCGGGACUAAAGGCGCUUACGGCCCGGGGCUAAAGCCCUUCCCUGUACUAGUGUAGUUGGGGAGUGAAAAGUUUUUAAGUGUCAUAUUGGAUGUUUUAUAAGAUGUUGGAAGAAGUAUUUAGAUACUAAAAAAACUAAUUACAUAGCUCACUUGAAAACUGCGAGACGAAUUUAUUAAAUCUAAUUAAUUCAUCAUUAGCACAUAUAAGUUAUUGUAGGACUAAUUAGGCUUAAAAGAUCCGUCUCGCGAUUUACAAUCAAAUUGUUCAAUUAGUUUUUGUUUUUGUAUACAUUUAAUGCUUCAUGCAUGUGUCCCAAGAUUCGAUGUGAUGGAUAAAAUUUUUUUGAAUGGAAACUAAGGCCUUGUUUAGAUCUAUUUUUUUACAUUGUAGCACUUUCGUUUUUAUUUGACAAGCAUUAUUCAAUCAUGGAGUAAUUAGGCUUAGAAGAUUCGUCUCGCGAUUUACAAGCAAAUUAUACAAAUUAAUUUUUGUUUUCAUCUAUAUUUCAUGCUUCAUGUAUGUGCCAUAAAAUUUGAUGUGAAUGAGAAUUUUAAAAAAUUUUUAGUCUUUAGAGUGAACUAAACAAGGGCUAAACAAGCCUUGGUUGGUUGGAAGCGAAGCUAGAAAUGGACGAUGCCAGGUGGUUGGUGUGGGUGGCGUUGGGGGCACACUGGUGGUCUCGUGAGCGUCCUCGCGAGACUUGCGAAGGUGAGCAUCUGCCAAAAUCUGCUUCAUGCCUUAUGUUAGGUGCAGGGUUAUUUUGGUCUUUUCUUGCUGCCUGGGUAAAAAUAAGAAUAUAUUAAAAUAAGGUCUUGUUUCCUCUCGGGAUUCGGCGCUUUUAAGAAGAUUAAGUGUAUAUUUUCUAUUGCGCCGGUGGGAAAUUUGGAGAAAUCGCGGGAUCGGACGCAGUGCGUGGAGGCACCGAACGCUGGCCUGAGCGUCCGGUGUGCUGUCAGUGCUUGGCCCUAUUAGUGUUGAGCACCGGACGCACUGCAGCAGACGCAGAGUGUUUUCUGUUCAUGCGUCCGGUGUGGCCUGACUUAAGCAAAGGUUGUUUGUCAGAGAGCACCGGACGCUCUGAGUGCGUCCGGUGGUGUGCGUCUGGUGUGAGGGAGUUUUGUAACCCUCUCUGCGCACGAGUCCGGUGAGCACCGGAGCGUCCGGUGCUCAGAGUCCGGUGAGAUCUGAGUUUUUACAAACUCUCUACGCACGAGUCUGGUGCUCACUUGGUCGCGUCCGGUAGUCCACAGGUGACCGUUAGAGUCUGACGCGCGAGAUUCAAAGGAGGACACGUGGCCAAUCUCAGAGCACCGGACGCAGGGGGUCGAGCGUCCGAUGAUCACUUGGUAGCGUCCGGUGCCCCCGAUUUCAGCCCAGUGAAAAAGUCAACGACUCUAUUUGUUGAGGGGGCUUAUAAAUAGAAGGUGGCCGGCUUUGGGAGGCUAACUCUUGCACAUUUGAAUACUUAAGGCAUACUUUGAGCUAAAGAACACUCCCUCCACUCAUCUCCUUUCUUAAUUGCUAAUCUUUGUGAGAUUGAGUGAGAUUCAAGUACUUUGCUUUGAGAGUUGCAUCUAGUGGCACUUGAUUCUUGACUUUGUUGCGGAUUUCUUGUUACUCUCGGGUGUUUUCCGAUGCCCUAGAUGGCUUGGAGCAGCGGUGGUGUUGAGCUCGUGAUUGGAGAUUGUUUCGAGCCUCACCAAGUGUUCUGUGAGGGGUUCUUGAGCCUUCCCCGCGGGAGAUCGCAAUUGGCUACUCUAAUAGAUUGCUAGUGGCUUGUAAGAUCCUCAUCUUGUGAGUGGAUGUGCGGCACCCACUGAGGGUUUGGCUUUGGAUUGCCAAUUAGCUCGUGAUCCAUCAAGUGGGUGUAUCGCCACAACGAGGACUAGCUUGCCGGGAAGCAAGUGAACCUCGGUAAAAAAUCUUGUGUCAUCUCUUGCCGAGGAUUCUCUUGUGAUUGUGAGUGAUUGGUUGGAUAUAUCUCUACUCUACAACGUUGGUUUAACAAUCACUCUCAACUCCUUUACUUACUUGUAUACCUUGCUGCUAGUUGUUUAGUUUAGUCUUCUUGUUUAGGAGUGAAAUUAGCUCUCUCGUGUUGUUGUGUUUUAGUGUUUAGCCUUGUACUAGUUUGUAUAGGUGGCUUGCAUAGCUUAGUUGAGCUAGUGCUAGAAUUGCUUCGCCAUUUGUUUAACUAACUCACUUGCUUAGUGAAGUUUGUAGAAUUAUUCAUCUCCCUCUAGCUAUUUGGACCUUUCACAUAUAGACUUUACUUGGCAUAGCUCAACUUCACUACUGAAGUUAUUUCUUGUAGAAAAGAGUUUUAUGAACAACUGUUUAAAUAAAGUCGAGCUGUUUUGAAAAAGCUACUCCCUCCAUCCCAAAUUGUAAGUCAUUCCAAGAAUCUUGGAGAGUCAAACUUUUCUAAAUUUGAUCAAAUUUAUAUUAUAAAAUAAUAAUUAUUAUGAUACUAAUUAAGUAUCAUUAGAUUCUUUCUUAAUUAUAUGUUCAUAGUAUAUUCACUUUACGUUACAAAUCUUAAUAUUUUUCUCUAUAAUUUUGGUCAAACAUUAAAAUGCUUUGACUCUCCAAGAUUCUUGGAAUGACUUACAAUUUGGGAUGGAGGGAGUAUUUGGCAAACAGCUUCGCUAGCAAUUUCAUGCAUAGAUAAAAGAAAAAAAAUGAGAGAUAGCUAGAAUAAGCUAUUUUUCGAGCGUUAUCUAAACUCAUGUCUUUGUAAGUAAAAAACAUUACUGCACCUAUAAAGCUGUUUUGAAAAAUAGUAUUCGGAUAAAUUACUAUAAUCCAAAAAUCACCGUAUUGCUGCAUUCUAAAUUUGCAAUAUUAAUUUAUUUUAAAAACAAAAUCACAUUUUAGUUGCUUAUUAUAAGAUUUAUUACAAAAUCCCUGGUACUGAUUUCAGUUCGGGUUUCCGUGUCCAUUUCCCUUCUCUCACAGUCAACAGGACCCCGAACCCUAAAACCUCCAAACCCCAGCAAUGGCGGAUUGCCCCUCGUUCCGCCGCCACCCGCUCGCCUCCUCCAUCGACCUCGUCCGCUGGCUCCCAUCCUCCUCCACCUCCCCUUCCGGUCGCCUCCUCGCCGCUGCCGCCCACGACCCCACCUCCGCCCCCGCCGCCUCCAGCAUCCACCUUCUCCCCCUCUCCGACCCCGGCUCCCCGCUCGCCUCCCUCCCGCUCCCGUCCCGCGCCACGGCACUCCGCUGCUCCACUGCUGCGCUCGCCGCUGCCACCUCCUCGGGUUCGCUCCACUUCCUCCCCUCCUCGUUUGACUCGGACGCCGCAGUGUCCGUCCCCGGCGGCGCGGGCUUCCAUGUGGGCCCUGUCCGGGGCCUCGACUGCGGCGGGGAGGAGUGGGUCACAGCGGGGGAGGACGGAAGAGUGCAUGUGGUCGGCGGCGCAGCGGACGGGAGAGUGGUGGCGAGGAGGGUGUGGGACGGGAAAGGAAUGUCAGGGUAUGAAGCCGCCAGGUGGGCGUCGCCGGUGGAGUUCGCCACGGGGGGCGCCGGAUGUGGCGUGCAAUGGUGGGAUCGGAGGAAAGGGGACGCCGUCGUGGCGCAGUGUAACGGCAUCUGGUGAGUGUAGGAAAGCCUGGAUCUAUAGGGUUGUCUUUCUGGUUUAUGUUCCUGUUAACGAUGGAUUUCUGGUAGUUGUAAUAGAUUAUUUUUGUGGUUUUCUUGUGGAUUGGUACGUUAUCUCAGCACCUUUGAAAAUAUUGGCACAUCCACACAUUACUUUGAUGAACAUGUUUCACGAACAUUUUAGUUAUGUCAGCACCUUUCAAAAUAUUGCACAUCCACACAUUAGUUUGAUUAACAUGUUUCACAAACACUUUAGUUAUGUCUGUACCUUUCAAAAUAUUUUCACAUCCAUAUCUUCCAUUAUGGAAGCGGGAAGCCUAACUCAAUGUUCACCAUUUGUAAUAAAUGUUCCUAGCCAUGCAUAAGCUCUGGUGCAGAGGUCAGAUUAUUGUGCAUCUCUAUCAUUUUUUUUAUGUUUUGGCUGUGCACUACCAAAGAUGGUUUCAGUAGGUUUGGUGCAUGCCUGUUAAUAUUGAAGAUACUUUCUGGAUGGUUUCAUGCAUGUCUGUUACUAUCUUUGUUCUGAACUGAUAAAUGAGACUGUCAUUUCAGUUUAUUGUAGCAGUGCAAUAGUUGUAGUCACUGCUUGGUUUCAUUCCAAUCUCACCCACUCCACUUCUAUGUGAGUACAUUUGUAAGAUCUUGAUGACAUCUGUGAAUUGUGGUUAAAAGAAAAUCUGGUGUACCAAAAUCAUGCUUAUUCUCCAAAACUCACGUCAUGCAUUAGAGGUUUCUGGUACAUACACAGAAAGAUUACAUUGAGCCAUUGAGGUGAAAUUUAUAGGUUUAAAUUUGUUUUCAACUGGUGUCUGAACCAUAUAUUCUACAAGAUCAAAGUAGUUUUUGUAUCUUAAUUGAACCAGCUCUGGUGGCCUCCUGUAAUUGCCCUCUUUAAAGUGAGUUAACUAUGCUGCUAACAGAUGAGAUAAAAUAGAAAAUAUCGAACUCCAAACAUUCUUGUUGUCAUAUGUUUUUCAUUGUACCUGUUAUGCCAAGCGCUGCUAUCUUGCUGACAAUGGGUGAACUUGCAAAUACAGGGGUCAUGGCAUAGUUACUGGCAUGGUGCAUUCCAUUGACAUUCAUCCGUCAAGAAAGCAUAUCUGUGUGGUAAGAUCAAUAUGUGGUAGCAAAUGCAAGUUUACUUUGAAUAAAUAAAUGAUUUUAGUUAUGUGUUAUGUUCCAUCUUAAUAGUUUUGAGGAUCUAACCUCUAGGAUAACCAAUCGUCCCAAGUACCAUGUAACUUAGUGAUGAACUGAUUUAGGUUGUUGAUGGUUGAGCAAAUUAAUGUACACCAAUAAGCUUCCAUUUGAAAUAUGGAAUUCAUUCAGGAAAUAACCUGUCUAGUACCAACUAUAUCAAGCAGCGUUCAAUCUUUUUUCCCCAAAAUUCCUUUGAAAAUUCAUAUAUAUCCCAAACAGGUCUUGUUUUUUUCAGUAAGAGGUAACCUACAUCAAUUCACUAGAGAAAUCUUGCAAUUGAAGUUUAGACAAAUAGAAAAGAAUCAAGCACCUUGUUUGUCAGUUUCAGUUGUGUUAUUUUCUGGCUUCGAGCCUUCGACGGUUCAGCCAGUGAUGUUAUUUUCUGACUUCAGCCUCAGAGCUAGUAAUUAAUACCUUUGUAAUGAUUUCCAUGUUGAAAAGAAGCUUACCUUGUGUAUAACCCAAAGCAUUUAAAUUGAAAAUACAAAACUAUGAUCUAUAUACACCUUGAAUGCAUUAGGUUAUAUUUGUCGAAGCAGUUUCACUUUCUAUAUUUUCCAAAUGUAAAAUGUUCUUAACAGAGCAGCUUUUUCAUGCAAUCAAGAACCAGAAGGUUAUGUUGGCUUACCUUUUUUUCUGAAACUGAUUUGCUGUUUUGUAGAAUUAUUUUGCCCUAUGAUAUGAAAUAUCCAAAUUCAUUGAAAUAUUUAGUUAAAUUGAGAUGAGUUGGUUAAUGUACCAGUGUCCAUGCCCUCUAGUGUAUGCUCUUGCACCCGUGUAUACCUAAUAAAUGAGCCUGAGCAGUGAGGCAUAUCGGGCCUAGAGGACUCUAGCUAACGUAGUCCACUGGGAGCUUGGACUCUAUGGAUGCAGGUCACUGCAUUGCUGACAGUGAGGAGCAGAAAACUCAUGCUAUUGCUAGUGCGCAGACCCUACCGCUCCAGUUUUAGUCCACCCAUGUUGAGCACAUAGUUGAAAUGAGUUUUAUGGGUGUGAUUACAUGAGUCAUAUCUGCAGCAUGGCUCAUCUCUGAAUGUUUGCAGGUGGGAGGCUCAUCAGGGACCAUAUUUGCCUGGGAUCUGCGGUGGCCACAGCAGCCGAUACCACUCUCUGGUGUAGGCCUUAAUAGAACAGCUGAGCCUGUGUGUGAAAGUGAGGUGUGGGAGGUUCUUUUUGACACUUGCACUCAGUCUUCUGAUAUCAUCUCAUCUGCAUCUGCAAGAAUAUUGCCAGUGAUGAUGUGUUCAGAGGAUGGGAUCCUUGCAGUUGUCGAACAAGGUAAGUGAGAUGUACAUGUAGCGUUCGGAUUGUUGGUGUUUAGUGUUUACUCAUCUUUAAUUAAUGUGCCUUUUUCCGAUUAGCAGAUGAGAGACCCCUUGAAUUGCUUGCUGAAGCUUGUGCUAUCAACUCCUUUGACAUAGAUCCUCAGAACCCCUCUGUAAGUCCUUGACUUCACCUGGUCAAGUGAAAAGUUUUUUGUUAUUUUUUGAGGGGUAACAGUUUUUAUUAUUUAUAGGUAAUGUCAGUAUGUUGUGUUAAUACUGUUAUGGAUUUGUCGCAGGAUGUUGUUUGUGCAUUGGAAUGGGAAUCGAUCGGUGUCCUAACUCGUGGUAGAGAUGCAAUGGCAGAAUAAUGAAAUUUUUCACCACCCAGGGAUUCCAAUCAGAAUUUUCUGCAAGGUGGCUGAAACUACUGUCAGAAAGAAUCUUCUGACUUCUGAGGGCUUCAUAUUCAGGGACCAUUCUCAUGGUAUUGGGCAACGGUAGAAGGAAUAAAGCGUGCUUGACGAGUGCUCUUUCCUGUCUCUGCAUACUAACCAGGUUUUACUUAUUAUGAGCUUCUGUUGUCAUGGGUAACUGCAGAUUGUAGAAACAUUUUCUGGUGUAGCUCCAAGUUGUGUAAUUGGUUCACUAUUGGAUGCUAACUGCUGACAGUUUGAAGGAGAGUCAUCACAAACAAUUCAUUCCUUUUAGUUGGGGGCUGAUGGACUCAAGGGGCUGUUUGGUUCUUGUGGCGUAUAUUUACACUGCAUGUGCAUGUGGCUGCCACAGUCUAUAGAGCGAACCAAACAGCUGGUUCGCCUUGUGUGGCGUGCAGUAGGUUAGGCUGGCGGAGUGCGGUGUGGAACCAAACAGCCGGUUGAGCUAUAGUUUGUUUCAUAAUGUUUGCGUUUUCCCUAGCACGCCAUGUGGUGUUAAAUCAGCUCCUGAACAUUAUGGACUCCAUUACGUAUUUUAUUCAUCUGGUUGACAAUUUAGAAAUUCUUGUUACUAAUGCAUAACUGAUGAAUCUGAAGGUGGACACGGCUUGUCGAGUGGUACAUCGAUCUAUGUAAUCUAAAGCCAAGGGCAAGACAUCGACAGCUCACACUGGUGCUAUGUAAAUUUUGAAAUAGAAGGCUGUAAAUUUUGAAUAGCGCUUUUUUUUAAUAACAAACAACUUCAUAUAUUAGCAGCAAUGUGCUGCUGAAAUGAUUAAAUCGUUCAAGCGUACCUCAAGAAGGGCUUAGCAACACUGGGGUACAUGAUGCUCAGAUGAGCAUAAAAAGUAAGGUUCCCUGUGAGCUGAGUUCCUGGAAUGCCUAGUAUGAGCUGUAGAGUUUAAGCUUCCGUGGAUCUCGUGGGUAGUAGCUGAAGAAGAGACUGCAUUAUUUGUGUUGAAAGUGAAUGUAAAUUAAUUGCUAAUCUCUAACACUAAUCGUAACUGUUUGUAUGGAUGUCGUACGGAUGAGAUCAUCAGUGAAUGGAUGCCUACUAGGAUUAGGCGUUUCACAACACUCCCCCUUGAUUGAAUCUUCUUUGAUAUUGAUGUAGCUGUAAACUUGGAUUUCUUGAAAAAACCUGUGAGAAAUCUGAGGAAUAUAUAUGUAUAGGUAUAUCAUAAAAGUUCCUUUAAACCUUAUAGGUAAAUAGAGAAAAUAGCAUAUAUGAGUGUGAUUUAAAUAAAUCAUUAUGUCAUUGGUAUCCCAUUAAAAACCCUAGUAGGGAAAAAUAUUGGAGAUAUGACAUAUUGAUUACUCCUCCCAAAACCCUUUUUAGGAAAAAAUAUGAGGAGCAAUAUAAAAUGAUAUGCCGCUAAAACUUCUAUAAAAACUUAGUGGGAAAAUUAGGAUAAAAUGUGACAACCGGUAUUGCCUCUUGGAUAACUCCCACCAAAAAACUUUGCAGGGAAAAACCAUGGAUGAGUUAUGAAGGCAAUGUGUGUCUUUGAUAUUUCCCACAAAAACCCCAAUGGGGAAAAUAGAAAAUAUGACAUAUGCUUAUGUUAAUAUUACCUCAUUAGAAACUUUGACAAGAAACCUUUUGAGUAAAACUUAUAAAAUAAAAGAGUAUAAUAUGAUGCUGGUACAGGUGGCAUUUAGGAGAUGUCUUCUCUUGAUUCUGGCAAAUCUCGAAGUCGUCGCAUACCAAUUCAUGUCAUUUGAGAUUGCAAUUUUACCAAGCCCCUUGACCUUGCCUUUCUUGUUGUUGCCGAAGGUGAUAGAAUCAAAGCCACCAUUUUGAUUUGUAUCAAUUGAUUUGAACAUACAAGACUCUCCAGCCAUAUGUUGAGUGCACCCACUAUCAAGCACCCAAUGUCUUCCUCCGGCUUUGUAAUUAACCUACAAGUCAAGAUCAAUUCCUUUUAGGUACCCAAAUUUGAUUGGGUCCUCUAAGGUUAGCAACUAAGCUCUUUGUUACCCAAAUGACUUUCUUAUUUGAACCCAUCCAUGGUGCACAAAUGAACUUAGCAUGAACACCUUUUGUAUACUUGGUAAGUACAUAGAAAGAAUUAAGCUUAACUCAUGUAUUGUUGCUCUAGGUGACCAACUUGCUUGCAAGCUUUGCAAUACCAACCAUUGUUCUUCACAAAACAUGUCUUGUGAGGAGCAAAGGCGGCCUUGCCUUUCUUGGGGUUAUAGCCCAAUCCCUCUUUGUAGAGAGAAGCUCUUUGGCUACCUAAGCACAUAAGCAAGCGGUCCUCACCACCAUAGGCCUUAGCUAAGGUGUGAUUGAGCUCUUUCACCUCCUUCUUGAGAAUUUCAUUCUCAACCAUCAGUGUGGAGUCACAAGUGAAACCAUCAAUACUAGAUGAGGAUGAUGUAGAUGUGCUACAUGAAGGGUUAGUUGAAGCAAUAACAAUAGGCUUACUUAAGAUAUCACAUGUUAUGCCUAUGUUGCAAGUUUGAGCUUUUUCAGUUUUAGUUGGCAUGGAUUCACAUUUGUCAACUAGAGAGGAAGGAGCUUCUUCAAGCUUAGUGUGAGCCUUUUGAAGCUUCUUAUGGUCUUCCUUUAGAUUCUCAUAAGAUGCUCUAAGCUCAUCAAGUUCUUGCUCAAGGGUUUUCUUAUCCUUAAGUAAGGCCUUGCAUUCCUUCCUAGAUUUUUUAAAGUGUUGUGUGCAAUCUUCUAGCAUAGUGAUUAGUUCAUCUUUAGUUGGUUCAUCAUCAUCACUAUCACUAUCAUUAGCAUGAUCACUCUCAUCAUCGGAUGAUACCUUAGUGGUGUUAGCCAUGAAGCAUGAAGAAGUGUCGAAGAUGGAGCUCUUUCCUUGAAUUGCAAUGCUAGCAUGCCCCUUCUUCUUGGUGCUCUCAUCAUCACUUGAGGAGUCAUCACUAUCCCAAGUUGCAACAUGGGCAUCACUGAAAGGUCCUUGUUUGGUUUUGGUAAUUGAGUGACAACUUAGGUGGACUAAUAGUGUUUAUGUGAGAUACACAGGAGAUUAGUCCACAGGUGAUGAUGCGAUGAUGGAGGAGCUCAUUGCACAUGAGACAUGACAUGGAGUCAUGUGACCAAGGUGGAGAAGAUCAAGAUGAGGCUUGGCUUGAUGGACCGAUUGCAAGAGUGAAGGGCAAGUCGGAGGCUUUGAAGCGAGGGACCGCGUGUGACGGUGAAGCUUGAGCAAGACUUGGCGCCGAUGGACCGAGGCAACGGUGAAGAGCAAGUGAGGUCAAGAUCGAUGAACCAAUACGAUCACGUGAUGAUAUGAAGUGGAUCAUAUCAUUUGGUGAUUGGUUGGUGCAUGUGUUGCAUCAAUAUUGGAGGAGAUAGAAUGGAAAGCGCAAGGCAAAGGUAUAACCUAGGGCAUUUCCAUUUCACCGGUCAUAGGUGUGUAGAGAAGUUUAUGACUAGAUUUAGGAUAGAUGGCCGUACUAUCAAGAGGGGCAAACUUGUUUGCAUAUCGGUCAUCUAGUGCCACUUGAGCGAUCUAACUUUGCAUACGUGUUAGAAUCGAGUGGCGUGGCAAGUUGAGAGGCUAACUCCUUUGGGAAAAUGUUUGUGAAAAGCUAACACACUUGCACUUUGGUGGUGGACACUUGUUGGUGUUAGCACAUUUGCAAAGGAGGUGGAGUUCCUAGGGUUGAGAGGGGUGUGGGUUCCUCGGCGCUUUUGAGAAAAUUAAGUGCAUAUUUUCUAUUGCGCCGGUGGGAAAUUUGGAGAAGUCACGGGAGUGUUUCUCAGUAGGAAACACUCACCGGACACUCUGCGCGGAGGCACCGGACGCUGGCCUUUAGCGUCCGGUGUGCUGUCGGGUGCAGCAGAGUGCACCGGACGCACCGGAGAGAGUCCGGUGCUCAGCGUCCGGUGUGCGGGCGGUUUGGCGACCCUCUCUGCGCAUGAGUCCGGUGAGCACCGGACGCUCAGGGUGCGUCCGGUGGCUUGCGUCCGGUGACCUUGCGCGUUUGCGGAGUUCUCUGCGCACGAGUCCGGUGUGCACCGGACGCGUUCGGUGUGACGCAGUAGAGCGUCCGGUGGUGCUGUGCACGCGCGUGUGCGCAGUAGCCGUUGGCGGCAACGGUCGAAUUCAAACGGCUAGUGACACGUGGCUGACGCCUGAGCACCGGACGCUGGGGGUUGAGCGUCUGGUGGCUCCCUGUGAGCGUCCGGUGCCCACAUGUUUUGCCCAGUGAAGGGGCAACGGCUAGUUUAGCCCUUGGGGCUAUAAAUAGAAGUGGUGGCCGGCCUUGGCCGGUGCUGAGCACCCUUGGGACUUAGUGUCCAUGCUUGGGGAGUGUUAGUAAAGCCUCUAACUCACAUAUGCUUGAUAGUGAUCAUCCGAUUGUGUGAGUGAGCGAUUCUAGUGUGUUGCAUUGAGAGAUUGCAUCGAGUGGCACUAGGUGUUCGUGUUGCAAGCCAGUGGUGCUUGUUACUCUUGGAGGUUGCCACCUCCUAGACGGCUUGGUGGCUUGUGACUCCGUCGAAGCACGCAAGGAGAUUGUGCGGUGCUCCGGAGAAGAGAUUGUGAGGGGUACGGUGCUCACCCCGUGGGGAUCGCGAAGAGCAACUCUAGUUGAGCGAGACGUGAAGAGCGACAAGUGGUCCGGCCGGGUCAAGUGCUAGAGCUUGUGGUAAGCACUCCACGUGGGAGAGUGUGACUUGCGGGUCACCACUAGCAAGAGGACCGACAGCAACCUUGGAGCUUGUCUCAACGGGGACGUAGCUUGGUGGCAACCAAGUGAACCUCGGGAGAAAAUCAUCGUGUCAACUUUGUUCUUCCCGUUGGUUUGCAAGUCCCUAACACAAGCUUGUUUUUACAUUCUUAUAUUUGUGCUUGUUUAGUUGCUCUUGUAAUUAGUUAGCUUGUGUAGCUUGCUAGUUACCUUCUUGCUUAUGUAACUAGAAGUAGUUCCCUUGCGUGACUAAUUUGGUUUGUGUAACCUUGUUAGUCACAUUGCUUAGUUUGUGUAGCUAAGUAAGUUGCGCUCUCUAAUUUGGCAUUAGUUGCCUUGUUAUUGAGCUUGCUAGUGAGCUUAGGCUUUAUGCACUUUGCCUCACUAGUUUGUGUAGGAGCUCCCCCGGUUUGGAAAGUACUAGUUGCAUAGGUUUGUGUGACCUUGCUCCUAGAAUUGAUUAGGUGAGCUCUUGCUAAGGUAGCACCUUGCUUGCUUGUUUAGAAUCUUUUCAAGGUGCUAGAGAACUUAGAUAGAGGGGUGUAGUCUUGGCUAGACCGAUAGUUUUAAUUCCGCAUUUGUUUCGGUUAGCCGGUGCGAUAAGUUUUAGAAAGGACUAUUCACCCCCCUCUAGUCCGCCAUCUCGACCCUUCAAUCACCUUUCUUCUUGUUUGAGCCUUCCUUCUUUUCUUGCUUCUUCUUUCACUUCUUUCUUUCCUUCUUGAUAGCAUCUUCAUCAUCACUAUUAUAAGGACACUUGGCGAUGAGAUGAUCCUUGCUAUGACAUCUAAAGCACCUCAUGGCAUGGUCAUUCUUCUUGGAGGAGCUCUUCUUCCUUCUUGCUCGAUAACCCUUCUUCUUCAUAAACUUGUCAAAUCUCUUGACAGGAAGAGCCAUUUCCUCAUCGCCAUCACUAUCACAAGAGCUUGCUUUUCCUUCACUUGAUGAUUGUACCUUGGCUUUGCCCUUGGAUGCGGAGGCCUUGAAUGCCACACUUUUCUUCUUCUCAUCGUCCUUCUUACCAUCCUUCUUCUUCUUCUUGACCAACUCUUCCUUCUCAUCAUCUUCUCUAUAAGCAUCAUCGGUCAUUACAUCUUGGAACACUUGUUGAGGUAUUUAUUCACUAAGUGUUGUAUUCACUAGUACAGUGAUCAAUGUGUCAAAUCUCUUGGGCAAGCUUCUCAAGAACUUCAUAGAGAAUUGACUAUCCUUCACUUCUUCUCUAAGUGCCUUGAGCUCAUUCACAAUGACUUGCAACCGAUGGAACAUUUCUGGCACACUUUUAUCCUCUUGCAUCUUGAAGCUUGAAAACUUCUCUUAGAGGAUGUAUGCCUUGGUGGUCUUGGUGCUCUUAGUGCCCUUAAAUGUUUUUUCUAGCUUUGCCCAUGCAUCAUGAGCAAUCUCAAUGUUCGUGAUUUGCUCAAAAGUUUUGUCAUCGAGAGCUUCAUCAUUGCAUUGUAGCUUCUUCUCUUCAACCAGAGUUGGUGCAUUCUCAUUUGCAACCUCAAACUUUGUUUCGGUCACCUUCCAAACCUCUCUACUGAUUGACUUGAGAUGGGUGGUCAUCUUGACCUUCCAAUAUGCAUAAUUUGUGCCAUCAAAGUAAGGUGCCUUCUUGGUGUCAUUGAUAUGCAAACUAAGAGCCAUUUCUUCACCGAAGGUUGUUAAGCCUCAAAUAAAUGGUGCCUUGGCUCCGAUACCACUUGAAAGGUACAAAUGGCUAGAGCGGGGGUGAAUAGCCUAUUUAAAUUUUCUACAAACUCAACUAGACUAGUUGAUUAGUAAAACAAAUGGCGAAGCUAAACUAGCACUAGCUUAACUAAGCUAUGCAAGCCACCUAAAGUCUAGUACAAGGCUAAACACUAAACCACAACAAUAAGAGAAGGCUAGCUACACUUCUAAACAAGAAAACUAUGCUACACAAGCUAAACAACUAGCAAGGUAUGCAAGUAAGUAAAGGAGUGAAGAGUGAUUAUUAUACCAAUGUUGUAGAGUAGAGAUAUAUGCAACCAAUCACUCACAAUCACAAUCACAAUAGAUGAUCAUCGGCAAGAGAUGACAUAAGAUUUUUUUACCGAGGUUCACUUGCUUUCCGGCAAGCUAGUCCUCGUUGUGGUGAUACACCCACUUGAUGGAUCAUGAGCUAAUUGGCAAUCCAAAGCCAAACCCUUAGCGGGUGCCGCAUAUCCACUCAUAAGAUAGAGAUUCUCAAAGCCACGAGCAAUCCACUAGAGUAGCCAAUUGUGAUCUCCUGUGGGGAAGGCUCAAGAACCCCUCACAAGUCACUUGGUGAGGCUUGAAACAAUCUCCAAUCAUGAGCUCAAUACCUCCGCUUCUCCAAGCCAUCUAGGGUGUCGGGAAACACCUAAGAGUAACAAGAAAUCUACAGCAAACUUUAAAAAUCAAGUGCCACUAGAUGCAACUCACUAAGCAAUGCACUUGAAUCUCAAUCAAUCUCACUAAGAUUAGCAAACAAGCAAGGAGAUGAGUGGAGGGAAUGUUCUCUAGCUCAAAGUAUAUCUCAAAUGUUCCAAAGUGCAAGAGCAAGCCCCCAAGGCUGGCCAACAGCUAUUUAUAAGUCCCUCAAACAAAUAGAGUCGUUGGCUUUUUCACUGGACAAAACACGGGGCCACCGGACACGCUGCAGGUGAGCCACCAGGCGCUCAACCCCUGUGUCUCGUGCUUAGAACACAGUCACGUGUCCACUGUUUGAAUCACGUGUGUUGAUUUCUAACGGUCACUUCCAAACUACCAGACGCGGUUAAGUAUCCACCGGACGCGUCCGAUACACACCGGACCCGUACGCACAGAGGGUGUUUUCGCGCGGAGUCACCGGAUGCAUACCACCGGACGCUCUCCUGCGUUCGAUGCCGCGAGCGCUUCUGCAGUGAACCACCGGACACACAUCAUCGGACUCGCUCAUGUUUCUGUGCAUGUAUUUGGUGUGUACACUCCAGCAAGUGCCACUCACCGGACGCACUGAGCGCGUCCGGUGCAGCGUCCGAUGCUGCGUUCGGUGAGUGCUCGUGUGACUUCUCCAAACUUUCCACUGGUGCAAUAGAAAAUAUGCGUUUAUUUUCUCAAAAGCGCUGAAUCCCGCCUUGCAAGCUCGGCGAGAGGGAGAGAGGAACCCAAACCCCUCUCUACCCUAGAAACUUGUUGGCGUUUCUUAGCGAAACCACUAAAGAUAGAGUUUGAGUCCAUCCCUAAUGAUAACACUAGAAACGUUCUUGGCAUAUCCUAGCCACCAUCACUUCAGAAUGAUAACCCAAGGCUCUUUACGGCGCGGGCCUAGGCAGUGCAGUCUGGUAAUGAUGAUUAAUAAUGCCAAAUUGGCCUUCCUAACCAUCCUUACUUACGAUAUGCAAAGCUGUGGCCCGGCGCCGGGUGAGUGCACAAGUAUUACAAUCUUAAGUAAAGGUACUUAGGUACACCAAUCGAUAGCUCAGUAUGAAAUAAGAAUAACUCUGCAAGCACACAGAACUAUCAUUGUAGCAUUUCAUCAACCCGUAAAUGGGUGUCGUAUUUAUAAUUCCUGUAGGAAGGCAUUUAUAUCUAGCAUGGUUAUAACAUGAUUACUUUUUAAAAUGCAUGGUAGGCAUAGAGUAAACAUGGGUAAGAUAUGAUAUUUGGAGAUAGUGGACACACAUUUGGGUCAUCCUCAAUGAUAAAAGAUAAAAUAAAGAAUAAAAGAAUAUAACUACUGAGCAGGCAUGGUUCGUAUAUAACUGUGCUAAGAACCGUUAGUAAGUCAUUUAACUAGCAUGUCUAGAGAUAGGAUCAGGUUUGAGAUGAUAGGGAGAUCCCCAUAGCUGGUCUGCCAGCAAAUAGAGACUUUACAUGACUCCUACCAAAUAUCCGAACAUGGGGGAAUACGAAGGAUGACAGGGCUGUCACCACCCUGCCACCUACCCCUCUCCCCGUGGGAUACCCGCAUAUCCACUAAUCUCCGCAUACCUGAACACCAUGUUCACGUAUUUGGAAACAACUGUUAACCCCCACGGGCCCCAACCCUUCGGAUUGAUGUUGAUAUUUGGUAACGCCAUCAGGAAAUGAUCCGCAAGGCACGGAUAUCGGUGAGCACUUCACCCGGGAGGUUAUCCAGAGUAUUGUAUUUAUAUUUUUACCACUGGGAGAAAGCGUGCAUCUGACUAACUAAAUCUAUUGCUAUUACCCUUUAGGCUACAAACAAUGUGAUUCGAUGUGAGCGAUGUAUAGAGAAGACUACAACCGCACUCUUGUUCUAACCUUGGAAAGGAUGAUCUACUGUUCUAUUGGGGAGGCUUACGGUAUCUAGACACCACAAAGGAUGUUCGACCCGCACCUAUAAACCCUAUCGAUCCUGCUAAUGGGAUGUGGGCUGCAAAGGUAACUCGGAAAUGUCACGUUCCUCGCUACUACCACGGUCCAGCUAGACAGGGGAUAUCUAUGAGUACCCUAGCCCAAACACCACGUUUACGCUAGCAAUGAUUACUCUAAACUCAACCGUAAGAGAUUAAAGUAAACUCAUAAACCAAAGAACAAUAAGAACAAAGAACUUACUAGAAUUUAGAAGUCGAAAUACUGAAGAAUCCUAGGAGCAAGCCUCGGGUUAGGAGACUUGAUCCCGCAGGUACAACCUCGGAGUAGACACCGACAGGCUAGGCUUCCUCCGAUCUACACCUCCACUCUAUCUGUCUCAAUCUAGUAGAACUAGUUCUACUCUUACAUUGGAUGCUAAGCCCUAUGAGGUGGGAACCCUAAGGAACCUCUCUCUGAAUCCUCUCUGGAAAAUAUGCUAAUGAAUAAUGAGGAUUGCUCUCCUCCAGGGGCCAGGGGGCCUGCUUAUAUAGUCCCCUCAAGUGAACGUGGGCCGUCGGAUCAAACCAACAUUGAUUGAACGGUUCUCCUUGAUCCUUUAGGUCGGUGGAGCAUAAUCCGCAAGAUUGAAUGUGAUUGGUGGAAAUACCUGGGCCGGCGCCCAAGGGGGGAGAGCGAGCGCCCUGCCCUCGAGCCCGCUCAGUCUCCCAUUCGUUCCCGUGGCUUCUGGAGUCUUCUAGAUGAUAGAAAAUUGUGCGGCACGUUAAUAUCUCUAUGUAAACCCGACAUGUGGGCCUUUCCUCCAUAUUUCCUGAUAACCCCCUGCAGAAAUAGACAAACACCCAAACUCAUGGAAUUCUGUCAGUUAAAACCCUAAGUCUGGGUGUUGGUUGCAUUUGGAUCCUUUUCUUUAUUUAUUUGAUGAUUAUAUUUGGUAGUUAAGGACCAUCAACAACUCCCCCAAGCUUACCUCUUGCUCGUCCCUGAGCAAGGAUGGACUCAAGAGUUUCUGCAGUAGUUUCAUGCCUUAAAAGUACACAUACGUUCAAGCAAGAUCUCAUCUCUGAGUUAGAGUAAACUGUUAAGACUUAAAACUUACUCAUUUUACCUUUCACCAUGGGGCUUGAAACCGUCACUUGUGUCUUGAGCAGUUAAAAGAUAGAACGGUCAAGUCAAGCGCCAUGUCUCUUGUUCUUGAUCAGCUAUAGCUCUGGAGUUUUUGCAGAUUUUCAAAUAAAACUCAGAGAUUCCUUGUAUGACUCUCUCAAAUCUCUCUUUUGUGGUAUUUCUAGAUCCUUUCUAAGGCAGUAAUGGUAUAUGCCUUCUCUUAAAGUAUGUGGUAUUUUUUGUAUGAGGCAUAGUGAUAUUGCCCUCUCUCUCACCCUACUCUAAUAAGGUUUUGAUAUCUAGAGCUCAUAGGUGGGAGACAGAUAAUACAUACUUACAAGACAUUUAUUGCAUAGUCAAACCAUAGAUCCAGAAGAACAAGUCAAUAAGUCAAAUCAAGAUGUGCAUGUGUGGCGAGUGAAUGGUGUAUGGUGAUGAUGGUGAUAACAAUGGUGAAAGUCUAAUUCUACUUUUGCUCUUUUAAGGGGAUACAUUCCUUUCUUGCUCUUUUGAAACUUUUUGAGGAGAAUGAGAUGCUCUAUAUUUUCUUUUUCUUUCCUCUUAGGUGGGUAUCUUGUACCCCUAAUUCUACUAUCGGACACUUGUCCAUUUUUACCUCUCGUCUCACUUUUUCUUUUCUUCGAGGUUCCGGGCACUUGCCCCUUUUUAUUUUCUCAUAUCCUUUCUCUCUUUUUUUAGAGCACUCAUCUCCUGAAAUAAUAUAUCAAGUGGUAGUAACCAAGAUAACUCGAGCAUUUAUUUCACAGGGACAAACAGAAAUAGGAGAUUGUUUUUGGCUAUUCUCCCGGAUUAGGAGUAGAACAAUUUUAGGUGGCUCUGGAGAUGGAAAUGAGUGGAUAUAUGUGGAUGCGUACUUCCGGAGUAGAAGUAGCAUGUGUGAGUGAACGUGCAAGUGGAUCUUGAUUUUAACUGCAUGACAAGCUCCUAAGGGUCUACACAGCUUGACCACACUCAAUGCUCAUAAGCAGUAAAAAGUAAAUGUGUGGCUCAAAGUCUAGCAAGCAUGUAUAUAUGGCCGUGGUAGGAAUUUAAACUCUCAUCAUAUAGGAACUCAUCAUGUGUUAUUUUAAAGAUUUUCAAAGAUAAAAUUCUCUAGAAUUCUAGCAUCUCUAGGAACAGAUAAACAGGAGCUCAAUCUUCCCAUAUCAUACCCGUUAACAACUUAGACUUUAGAUCAAGUACUCUUCCCACAAGUUCAGGUUUAGAACAGGUUUAAAUUAUAACAGUUAUGCCUAAACUUGAGAGAGAGCUCCAACUUGAAAACUAGGUACAUGGCAGAGCAACUAUUUAUUAUAUCCAUGUAAGAGUUUAUCAUUUAAGUUCAGUUUGGUCUAGAGACUUUAUUUAUUUAUUUAGCAAACUAAGCAAAGAUAUAUAUAAGCACAAAAUUUUUAUUUGGGUUUUCAUGAUUAUGCAUCUUUUUAUUAUUUGAGUAAAGUAUAAACGCGAGUAGAAACACUUAGCUGGAUAAAUGGGGGUGCUCUCCCCCAAGCUGGAUUUUGACGUAAUUUCUUCUCAUGUAGCCAGUAGGUGACAGAGGUGUAUUUGAAUGUCGGCAGCACCCUGACAGCGAUUACUAUGUCCUCCGCCGGCUAGUCUUCUUUGAUCCUUGAAUUCUGUGGAGCUCAAAUAGACAAUAAAGCUUUGUGGAACUGGUUAAGUGUUAGCAUAAAAUCUCUUAGCCUUUAUCAUAUUGAGAUUCCUCCUAAUUUACUCUCUUUAGUAGGAUCAUAAAUUUAUUUUUAUAUUUUCAUUUUUAUAGGAUAGGAAUAUAUUUAUUUUAUUUUUAUGCCACCAUAGUGAAUGUACUUAUGGGUUUUAUGCUAUGAGCAUACUCACAUGGGGCUUACUAUUUUUAGUAUUUUUAUUUUCUUUUCAAGAUAGCAUGAACCUGAUUAACUAAGCAAACUAUUUUAAAUAAUUGAAGGGAAAAGGAUAACUACCAAGUUUACCUCUUGGCAAGGCGUUCGAUGUUUAUAAGUCCUCCGAACGGGACUCUCCGUUUUCUCAGUCGUCCUGGGAUUCGCUGGAUGGCAUAGUCGGUGGUUUCGGUGGUGCCUCCUCUUCGUGUAUAACUAUCUUCUCUCUCCACACCUGACUCGGUGCUACGGUCUCCUCAGGAUUGUUCUGUUCAAGCUGUAUGUCUUCAGACCUUACCACUUCUCCUUCGUAGUCUGCCCAUCCGUCCUUGAUGAUUUGCCUCCUCUGGUUGCGGUUGCGUUGUCUUCUUCUUGUCCUGACCUGCACUAUAUAGUUAAGGUCAGUAAAAUAGCGGCGUACCUUCUGAGAGGGGAAGUGCAUGUGGACUUCACCGGUUCCAAUGUAGAUGAUUGCUUUAACGGUGCCAAGGAACGGUCUCUCAAGGAUGAUGGAUGGAUCGUACUCGUCUUCUCCCAUGUCAAUAACCUUCAACCUUUCGGAAUGUCUGAUCUACCAUCUGGAGCUGGGUCAUCCUUUUUGGUCAGAAACGGUGACUUAAGUCGACGAUCUUGACCUUCUUGAACUGCAGUGACCAUCUUAGCUGACUCGGUGCACAUUUGCUUGUUCCUGUUCCUCCUGUUGGUCCUCUUCCUUGGUUCAUGUCGAGAUUGCUCUAAAAUUUGUGUAGUCUUGUUCUUGAAGGAAAACGUCUCCUUCUUCCCUUUGCUAUAGAAACUGAUCUUGGCAGCACUAGCGUAGAUGACAGCUCCUGAGGUGUUCAGGAAUGGCCUCCUCAGACGUAGAGGUUCUUCAAUAUUCCCUUUGGGAAACUUAGUGUCCGAUCUGCAAGCUGAGUAGUUAGGCCUCUGUUGAUUCCAACCUUGAUUUUGUUGAGGACGGUUGUAGUAGUAGUAGUAGUUGUUGAUGUAGUUUACGUCCUCAAGCAUCUCAGGGCAUUGAUUGCCUGAGUGUCCAGUAUCUCCAGUGUGUUUGUGCUCGUAGAUCCAGAUUCUUCACCUGGUGGAGUCUGGGAGUUAUAAAACUCCUUCAUAUUUUGCUCGAAGUGUACCUGCUCAUAGAGACAGGGCAGAGAUCAAGUGCAUGGGCCCUGUUGGUGGAAAACACCAACAAAACCAAAAGUAUAUUUGUUCUUCUCUAACCUUAAGCAUAGUCAGCAAGACAAAGUUGAUAGAUAAUAAGAUCAUGAGUGUAGCGUUUAAAACAUUUGUCAGAUCAGAUCGCUCGACCUAAUGGAA